rnacentral:lncRNA from 1 species
CAGCUUACACGAGGGUAAGCAAUAGCCAUGAGUGAAGAGAUAGGAAAGCUAUGUAACUACACAAGUACUAUGAUUCAUUUUGAUCACAUACAUGUAUUCAUUUACAUUCAUGAUUGUUUGCAUUUCAUUACAUUACAUCGUUUGCAUCAUUUCUUUUACAUCACAUUUACCACAAAAUGGGCUUUACAUUCUUUUCUUUACAUCACUAGUCAUCAAAUACAAAAUAUGAACAUAGGGUACUCUACUAACAAAAUAUAAACCAAGCUCAACUCUGGUGGCCUCUGUCUAAGGCGCGAUACCUUUACCUCGGUCGCUCGCUGGCUCGCUCGAUCCCGGCUCUGUGGAAGUAGUGGGGUGAGAACUACAACAAAGUUUCCAGUGGGUUCGGCCCCAACAUCACCGACUUUUCCACUAGGACUAACUCAGGCAUAAUAGAAAGGAUAAGCAGAAUAGUAACCAAACUAUAGUCAUGAUGCUAAUAUGCCUGAACAAUAAAGAAAGGAAUAUGCUCAACAUAAAUUAUGCAAAUUAUGCAAGUUCUUUAUUCUUUUACUCUUUGUUCUUUUGUUCUUUAAUCUCACGGCUAACCCGGGGGUUUCGCCACAUUAACUUGCCCACAUUAAGUCCAUCAUCGCGGGCCCUCAGCUUCCUCCCGCUAAGACCGUCCUCGGGUUUACUCCAACCCGUGAUGCAAAAACUCCGGAGCGCAUUGCUCGAGGGGGUGCAACCACCCUCAAGCACGGAACUCAUAGCAAGUAUGAUCGAUUCCUUAACUCUAAGGAUUAUAAGUUCAAUCAUGUCGUUACACUAACUCUAGUGUCCUUUACAUCACUUUACGUUGCUAACUCUAGCAAUCGUUGUUCUUUGCUCUUUACAUGUUCUUUUUGCCCCACUUUGCAUUAUUCUUUCAUUCUUUAUUCUUGAUGCCACACUUUGUAUUAACUUUAGCCAUUGUCAUUACCUUCGCAUCACAUUGAUUCUUUGCCCCACACUAACUCUAGUGUUCUUUACUUUACAUUAUCAAAUGCCACUCGAUCUAUGUCAUAGUGUGUCACUCUGUUCUUUUGCCUCACUUGAGUGCUUACAUUUCCUCUCAUGCAUACAUAUAGGGUUUCACAUUUGUAUAGGUUCUCAACCAUCAUUAAGCAAGAUGUACUCACAAUCAUGCCAAAUCACAUUCUUUUCAUUGCUUUACCCUAAAUGCAUGCAACAAUAUAUGUAACAUAUGCUCAAUUGAAUGACGCAUUAGGUAUAGAAGGAAGUCCAAUGAGUUUGGAUAGCACCACCUGUAACACACUAGACCUCUGCAAAUUGCGAGGUUCGAGUGCUUGGAUGUAUUUCGAGCUUUUCCACACUUGAUGGAGGGUUGUAGAAUGUUUUCCGACCUAAAAAGUUCGAAAACUGGAAUUCUGGACAAGUCCUGAAAGUUUUUACUCUCGGGGACCGGUCCCUAGAAGGAGAGACUGGUCCCCCAGUGAGCAGUGUUGCGGCAGCCCUGAGGCAACCGGUCCCUGGCGGGCGAGACCAGUCCCCGAGCUCACCUUCGCAGUGAGAGACCGGUCCCGCGCAGGAGGAGACCGGUUCCCGAACGUUGGUUUUCCGGGUUCGCAGCGAGAGACCGGUCCCUGCUGGGGAGAGACCGGUCCCUCUGGGCGAAAACUGCCCAGACCGGGCUGUUGUAAUUUUGGAUUUUUGGGGGACCUAGCUGGAUUUUGUUACAAUAGAGGGCCUAUAUGACCCAUCCACUCUCUCCUCUCCUCAUUUCUCUUCUCUCAACUCUCUCUACACCCUUGAUAGAGAAGAAGAAGAAGAAGGAGAAGGAGAAGAAGGAAGGAAGAAGAAGAAGUUUGAGAGCUACUAGUGGACUUGGAGCAUCUUCCUCACCCUCUCUUCUUCCUUGGUGCUUGGAGGUUGAACUUGGAGCUUGUCAAAGAGGAGAGAUCUUCACCCUUGCACUACAAGAAGAAGAUUUAUAAGUGACAGUAAAACAUUGUCACUAAAAAUAAAAAAUUUGUCACUAAUAGUUUUAGUGACGAUAAAUACGGUCACUAUAAGUUGUCACGAUAGGUCCCGUGGCAAAUAGAUUUUGUGACGGAAAAAAAAAUAUUGUCACUAAAAAUAGUAUUUAUGACAAGACAAUUUUGUCACUAAAUAUUACCUAUUUGUCACCAAUAAUAUUUACGAAAUGGUUGAACAUUAAAAAUAGUAAUCUUAGGUGACAACGUAUGUCGUCACUAACAGUUAGUGACAUCACUAUCCGUCACUAAAUAUUGCAUUUAUGACAAUGAUUAUUCACUACACACUAAUAUUUAGUGAUAAUAAAGUUUGUCACAGAAUAUUACAUUUAUAACAAUCAUAUUCAUCACCGAUAUAUUUGUCACUACAUUAUCGGUCAUAAAAUCAACUAGUUUCAAACAACCAACUGAAAUUUCUAAUAAAAGCAAAUCAACAAGAUUUUAAAAUUCUAAUAACGAAAAUGCAUUAAUAUUCUCACAUUCAUCAUACAAAAUACCUCCCAUUAUCUCCAAUUUUUUAAGUACAUGACAAAGAGUUUUCAAAUUCAAACUAAAUGAUUCAAUCUAAAAUAAGUACAUUUGAUUAUAUGGUCCACAUCCAAAAUAAAGGAUUGUCGAAUACUAAUACUAUGUAGGAAUUGCACCACUCAUCUUUACCUGCAAUGAAUUAAAAACAAAUAUAAUUAGACAAAAUUGAAAUCUAAAAGAAAGAUAAAAUAAAAAAAAUAUUGAUGUUAAGGAUAAGUAUGAUCCAAGUGGAGCUCCAUUCGUUUUCUCAACGUAUGCUCUUUCCUCAUCUUGUAAUGAUUUCUAAUUUAAUUUAACAAAAUAAAACUAGAAACUAACUGAAAAAUAAAGCUAGAAACUAAUUAACUAACACAAAUCUAAACCCAAAGUCAAACAGCACUGAAGACCACUAAUUAAUUUACACGAGCUAGCUAGCCAUAAUUUUUGAAUUAAAUUGCCUUCAAUUAAAAAACCAUAGAAAUAGAAAAGAGAAAUGCUGAUACAUCAAAACCAAGCACAAAAUUCAAAAAUAAAAGCAACAGCAGGUCCGCAACAACAAUGAAUCCUUUAGUCACAGCUAAUGGCAACUAACAGAAUAUGGUUUCUCAAAAUGAAAGGACAUGUAAUCUACAUUUGGAGAGAUUUUAUAUAUUUAAAUACUGCUUUCUAAUUAAUAAUAGCUGAUAUAAGUCAAAGAGCAUGUCAUCAAAACUAAAUAAGGAGAUGAGAGAAGCAGCACUGAUUUUUGCAAGCUGCAACACAACCUAGAACUGCGUAUGCAAUUUCCUCUGCCUAAUCGAUGAAAAAGAUUGGAGAAUGUUGAAGAUACAGCAUAUGAUAAGAUACUUUCUGUCACAGCCCGCGACCACCCGCCUAUUUGGCCGAGGUCCCGGCGCCGCCGACAUCGCCGAAUGGACAGGGUUUCCCCUGUACUACCGACAGAGUCUCCCCUGUACAUUCAAGGCAUCGCAAUCAAUACAAUUCACGAAGGUUCCAACCAGGAACAGAUAUCAAUCAAGAUUGCAAGUGGAAGGUAUCAUACAACAUAAACACAUCCUAAGUUAUUACAUUCAUUCACUUUCAUAGUUUUUACAUCACAGUUNNNNNNNNNNNNNNNNNNNNNNNNNNNNNNNNNNNNNNNNNNNNNNNNNNNNNNNNNNNNNNNNNNNNNNNNNNNNNNNNNNNNNNNNNNNNNNNNNNNNAAGAGAGAGAAUUCUUGUUCUUCUCUUCUAACUCUCUGUGAUGAAUCCGUUAAAUGACAUGCCAGAUUAGGCCAUAUAGGUCAAGAGAAUAGACUGGCUCGAGAAGGCCUUUUGGGGUCUCUCGCCAAAGUUGACCUAUCUGUGUGUGAGCCUUGUCUGGCUGGAAAGGCAUGUAGAAAGCCUUUCGGUAAGGCUACUCGUGCCUCUCAUCCUUUAGAGCUAAUCCACUCAGACAUUUGUGGGCCAAUGAAUGUGAGGGCCCGGCAUGGUGCUUGCUAUUUUCUCACAUUCAUUGAUGAUUAUUCCCGUUAUGGAUAUGUGUAUUUGCUUUCUCGCCGAUCUGAAACUUUAGAUUGCUUCAAGCGCUUCGUUGCGAAGGCUGAGAAUCAAAUAGAAAGAAGUGUAAAGAUGCUUCGCACUGACUGAGGUCGUGAGUACUUGUCUGAUCAGUUCAAGACUUAUUAUGAACAAAAGGGCAUUAAUAGACAGCUCACUAUUCCUGGUACUCCGCAACAAAAUGGUGUUGCAGAGCGAAGGAACCGUACUCUAUUAGACAUGGUUAGGUCGAUGAUGGCGCAAGCGCAAUUUUCCAUAAAUUUUUUGGGAGAUGCUCUUUUGACUGCAGCCUACAUCCUUAAUCGAGUCCCUAGCAAAUCAGUGCCAUCUACCCCAUAUGAGUUGUGGAGAGGUAGAAAACCAAGUUUACACUACUUACGCCCUUGGGGUUCAGCUGGAUAUGUUCACAGCCUCUAACAUAGAUUCGGGAAACUCGGCCCUAGAGCGAGCAAGCAUGUGUUUAUCAGAUACCCUGAAAAUUCGAAGGGCUAUGUGAUGUAUGGUGAACACCCAGAUGGUGGUAUGACCGAGAUUGAGUCUCGUGAUGUGGAAUUCCUAAAAGGGGAUUUUCCAAGCAUUCGUGAAAUGCGAAGAGACGUCGGAUUGUAUGAGUUAUAGGACGACGCUACCCCAUCUGCGGUUGAGGGUAAUCGAUCACUUCCCGAAGUCGCUGAAGGAAGUGGUAGCGAUCCUCCGGCUAGUGGGAGUGCUUCUUUGAGUGAGAGCAUACCCUUGGAAGUCGGCAGAUUAGACCCUCCAUUACACCGAAGUGAACGUGGACAUAUUCCUCGUCGACAUUUUGAGAUCGAAGAGGAUAUUUUCAUGUGUACUCCGCUUAAUGAUGAUGAACCUGCUUCUUAUAAAGAAGUAUUACAUACAUCAGCUUGCAGUGAGUGGAUGGCUGCUAUGAAAGAUGAGAUGGACUCCAUGAGCAAGAACCAAGUAUGGGAAUUGGUUGACCUUCCGCCUGGGCGCAAAUCUAUUGGAAAUAAAUGGGUUUUAAAAAUUAAGCGCAAGGCGGAUGGAUCAAUCGAUAAAUACAAGGCUCGGCUCGUGGCUAAGGGCUACACUCAGAGGCAUGGGGUAGAUUACAACGAGACGUUUGCUCCUGUUGUGCGAUUUGCCUCUAUUCGUUUGAUUCUAGCCUUAGUGGCACACCUAGAUUUGGAAUUGUUCCAAAAUGGAUGUCAAGAAAGCUUUUCUCAAUGGAGAAUUGGCGGAGGAGAUCUAUAUGGAUCAACCUGAGGGUUUUGUACUCAAAGGUCAUGAAAACAAAGUUUGUCGUCUUAAAAAAUUCAUUUACAAUCUCAAGCAGUCGUCGAGACAGUGGUAUUUCAGGUUUCAUAAAGCCAUCACCUCUAUCGGUAUGUCCAUGAUAGAGGAGAACCACUAUGUAUAUGUCAAGAAGACAGAGAAUGGUAUUUUCUUUCUCUCUCUAUACGUCGACGAUAUACUAUUGGCUGGAAAUGACAUGGAGUUAAUCAAUACCACUAAGGAGUGGUUUGUUAAGGAUUUUAUAGGUUGGCGAAUUUCGUAAAGUUGUUUGGAGUCUUGAAGAGUUGAUCGCAGAAGUUAUUCAAAUUGGAGAACGAAGACUCAUUCGGAAAGCUCGACACCUAAGGUAUGAAGAAAAGAUCAUUUGUGGUGAAGAUACCUAAUUAGAAUAAGUUCAGAAGGCUUAGAUUGCUUUAAAAUAAUUUUUCUGAACUUUCAUGUGUUCUGGGACUGAUCCCUGAAGUGGAGAGACCGGUUCCCCUAAGGUCCUCACUGCGUGAGUUCUGAUGCAACCGGUCCCCUGAGAUGAGAGACCGGUUCCCGAACCUUGGUUGUUCUGUCGCGCAGCGAGGGACCGGUCUCAAGCUUGAGAGACCGGUUCCCGAACGCUGAGUUUUUGAACACGCAGAGAGGGACCGGUUCCUCACUUGAGAGACCGGUCUCUCACAGACCGGUCUCCUCGAGAAGACCGGUCUCUGAGGACGACACAGGUUUUUAAAAAUGACUUUUUGCAAUCCUAGUCUACUUCUAAGUCUUCUAAACAUAUAAAUAAGCUAUGUGGGUCAUCUAAAAAUUAAGGCUUUGAAUAUUUACCAAUUCUAAACCCUAGAAACGUAUUUCUCUCCGUUUCAAUGCUUAGAUUUACAUGAUGAGUUUCUAGCAAUCAACAUCGGCUUGAUUCUUCGUUGUUACUCAAUAAUUCUUACGAGAAUCAAGUAAAUGUUUGAUAAAAGGUGAACUCCCAUAGCUUAUGAUUUUUAAAAGUUAAAUCACCACAAAUCUUCGAUUCUACAAGCUCCGGAAGGAGGUUCGGCGCGUGGAUCUCGCGUGAGGCCGAGGAUUCGGUGGACGCUUCGAGGAGUUGAGGCGUUGACGCUGCGUGGAGUUGCAGCAAGGUCGAUUGGUGGAUUUCUAUCGAUCGAGGACCGGCAAAGAUCACCGUCAACAAGAAAUCGGUAAAUUGAGUCGUGUAAUUUCGUCGAAAUCACUUGUACUCGAGUUUUCUUAGUGGAUUUUCUUUGCAUGAUCGGUCCCGUGGGUUUUUCACUCCGAUUUGGAGUUUUCCCACGUUAAAUUCUCGGUGUGCUAUUUUAAUUUUCGCUACUUUGUUUUGUUUGCAUCGGGUUUUUCGAGUUUGCCGGAUUUACACCUAUUCAUCCCCCCUCUAGGUGUUACUUAUCUUUUAGAUCUUUGGAAUCCAUAUCUCACAAGUGGUAUCAGAGCGGGUAUAGGUUGUAAUACAUGGCUGAGGGCGGUAACAUCAAUCGACCCCCGCUCUUCGAUGGCACUAACUACGCCUAUUGGAAAGUCCGUAUGAGGGCGUUCCUUAUUGCUAUUGACGAGCGGGUUUAGCAAGCCAUUGAAUUCGGAUGGAAAAAUCCUACCGAAGUAGUCGAGAAUGUUACUGUGCCGAAACCUAGAAAUAAAUGGACGAAAGAGGAAAAUGAACUAUUUUCGUUCAACGGGAAAGGUAUCAAUGCUUUAUUCAAUGCUUUAAAUCAAACUGAAUUUUCUCGCGUCUCGGCGUGUGAAACCGCCAAAGAGAUUUGGGACACUUUGCGAGUUACACACGAGGGUACAAGCUUGGUUAAGAUUCAAAAAUUGCAAAUGCUUACUAGUAGAUUUGAUUCCAUCCAUAUGGAAGAACAUGAAUCUUUUACCGAGUACUAUACUCGUUUGCAAGACAUUGUAAACACGUGUGCUAACUUGGGCGAGAAAAUUCCAGAUUCCAAAAUUGUUCGAAAAAUUUUGAGAACCCUUCCCGAACGAUUCCGUCCUAAGGUUGCGGCUAUUGAAACGGUCAAACAUCCUGAUGAACUCAAAGUAGAAGAAUUAGUAGGUGCUCUUCAAACUUAUGAAAUGACUUUUUCUUCUAAUUCGUCUUCUUCCAAGUCUUUUUCUAAAGCUUCAGGGAUGGCUCUAAAAUCAACAAAAGGAGAUGUCACUUCAACCUCAUCAGAUUCAGAGUCGGAGCAAAGCUUGGAGGACUUUGAGAAACAACUCGCACUUCUAACAAAGAAGUUUCGUCGAAACUUUAGAAAGAAGUUUCCUUCCAAGUCUACUUCAUCCAAGACAAACAAAUCUAAAGGAGGUUCGUCUUCUUCUUCCUCAACAAAAUACAGGAAAUCUGAUAACUCUCAAAAGGACUCCACAAAAGAGAAGAAAAGUGGUGAAGGUCAAAUUCAAUGCUACAAGUGUAGGGGCUUUGGCCAUAUAGCAUCUAACUGUCCUAAUAAAAAGUCGUUGAAGAAGAAAGCUAUGCAAGCUAUGACUUGGGACGACUCCUCAUCUGACGAUUCCACUUCGAGUGAAGAUGAUGUAAAUGCCACGGCACUGUUUGCACAGGAUUCAACUUUCAUGUGUUUAGCAUCUGCUGACUCGAUUUCUACGACAUCUAUACAAGAGAAGUCAUCUUCGGAGAACUCAUCGGAUGAAGAAUCGGACGAAGAUGACAUGGUCGCAGCAUAUCAACAAUUGGUUGUUGAAUCAAAGAAGAUGGCUAAACACAACAAGAGACUGCGGCGAAGUCUGCAUGAGUUGGAACAAGAAAAUUCAAAAUUGGUCUCAUUAACAAAGGAUCUAGAGCAAGAAAGAGAUGGGUUGACCAAGGCUUACAACUCUUUGCUUGAGAAGUGUUCGUUACUUGAAAAAGAAAAGGAGACUCAAGUGGAGAACAUCAAUUUUCUUACCAAGCAAAACUCAGAAGCUAGAGAAGCAAAUAUGGAAUUCACCAAGACGAUCAUUCAACUGAAGUCGGAUUUGAACCAAUUUUCAUCUGGCUCGAGCAAACUAGACAAGAUGCUUGGACUUGGUCAAACAAAUAAACUUGGACUUGGUUAUGAACGGACAUAUAUUGAUCAAGUUACGAAGAAGGAUGAUGGAAACUCGUCAACUGCUGUACCUAAACUUUAUGGUAAGUUUGUCUCUCCUAAAAACAAUUUGACUAACAAAGCUUGUCAUAUAUGUGGUGUUUUAGGACACAUAAAGAAAUUCUGCUACCAAAAGGGAAAGAGCUCAAUAGCACCUUUGAAGAGUGAUCCUAAAACGACAACGAAGUCAACUGUGAUUCCAAGGAAGAUAGAACAUAAGAAGAGACAAACUUGGACACCAAAUACUCCGAAGCCAAAGGCAAAACAAGCGUGGAAACCAAAGAAGGAGGAUAUGAAGAGGAAGUCAAUUCAAAUCGUCGACAAGCCACGAUCAACAAAAGCAAGCGAACUGACACAGCCCAAAACACGUAAGGUUUGGGUGCGCAAAGGUGAACUCUUCCCAUGCCUAGUUAUUCACACUUCGCUUCAUGCUUACGAUAACUCAUCAUGGUAUCUGGAUAGUGGUUGUUCCGUCAUAUGACCGGAGACAAAAAUUGGUUUACUUCUUUGACCAAAAUCUCCGGAGGACUUGUUGUUUUUGGGGACGGUCGAUCGUCAAAAAUUGUUGGCAAAGGAACAGUGACUAUUUCAGAUGGCCCUACGUUGAACAAUGUUUUUUAUGUUGAGGGGCUCAAAUCUAAUCUCGUAAGCAUAAGCCAACUGUGUAAUGAUGGGUAUUCUGUGAAUUUUUCUGAUAAAGAAUGCCAUGUGAUUCGUGAUGAUAAUCUGUUUUUAAAGGGCAUUAGAUCUCAGAAUAAUUAUUAUGUAGUUCCUAGUUCGUCCACUGAACAUUGUAACCUAGUUUCAUUAGAAACUGAAACCUUAUGGCAUGAACGACUAGGUCACAUAAACUUUAAGGAGCUGUCAAAGAUAACCAAGAAGGAGGUAGUUUGAGGUGUACCUAAGAUUGAUUUUAAGGAGAACACUGUGUGUGGGGGUUGCCAAUUGGGGAAACAAACUAGAUCCACACAUAAGAACUUAAAUCACUUAGGGACUACUAAGCCCUUAGAGUUACUGCACAUGGACUUGAUGGGACCAUCUAGGAUUCAAAGUUUGGGUGGAAAACGUUAUAUCUUGCUUAUUGUUGAUGAUUUUACUCGCUUUGUUUGGAGGGCCUUCUUACGAGAAAAAGCUGAUACUUUUAAUUCUUUUUCUGAAAUCUGUCUACGUCUUAUGACUGAACGAAAUGAUAAAAUUGUACGCAUUCGAAGCGAUCAAGGGGGAGAGUUCAUAAAUUCCAAAUUUGUUGAUUUCUGUGUUUCAAAUGGUAUAAAACAUGAAUUCUCGACCCCUUAUACACCCCAACAAAACGGAGUGGUUGAACGUAAGAAUCGGGUUGUACAGGAGAUGGCUCGUGUUAUGCUUCAUAGUAAGAAAAUUGCUUUACAUUUUUGGGCCGAAGCAAUUAACACAGCUGUCUAUGUUAUCAAUCGGAUUUAUGUGUGUCCAGGCACCUUGAAUACGCCUUAUGAACUUUGGCUUGGUAGAAAACCUAACAUUAAAUACUUUCGUGUCUUCGGGAGUAAAUGUUUUAUCCUUCGGGAUCGUGAAAAUCUUGAAAAAUUUGACUCUCGCAGUGACGAAGGCAUAUUUCUUGGUUAUUCUACUACAAGUCGUGCUUAUCGUGCGUACAAUUUACGAUCUAAGACGGUGAUAGAGUCUAUCAAUAUAAAAGUAGAUGAAGCUUCUUCUGUAAGUUCUUCUGUGAAUGGUUCUUCCAACUCUCUGAUGAAUGACGAUGAUAAUGAUUCUCCGUUUGUAAUGCCUGUGAAUGAUGAUAUUUCUACACCUGAUAAUUCCAUUGCAUCUUCUGAAAAUAUCGCAUCAAAUGAUUCAUCUGAGCCACAAAACAUCACGGCUGAAAUCCCGAGUACAGAGACUACCCCCCUGACAGAGUCAAGAGAUCAUCCUUUGUCAAAUGUGAUUGGGGAUCCUAAUGUUGGUGUGCGAACAAGAAGUCAGUUACAAUGUGAAUUUGCAUGUUAUGUUUCUUUGAUCGAGCCAAAGAAUGUCGACGAAGCUCUUGUUGAUGAAUAUUGGAUAAAUGCCAUGCAAGAAGAACUUGGUCAAUUUGUUCGCAAUGAUGUAUGGGAAUUGGUGCCUCGUCCUGAGCAACAACACAUUAUUGGUACCAAAUAGAUCUUUAAAAAUAAGAAAAAUGAAGAUGGUACUAUUGUGCGGAACAAAGCUAGACUUGUGGCUCAGGGGUACUCUCAAAUUGAGGGGAUAGACUUUGAAGAAACUUUUGCUCCGGUUGUCCGUCUUGAAUCUAUUCGUAUCUUGUUCGCGAUUGCUUGCCAUUUUAAAAUCACGCUCUUUCAAAUGGAUGUCAAAAGUGCGUUUUUAAAUGGAUUUUUAAAAGAGGAAGUUUAUGUUGAACAACCGAAAGGUUUUAUAGACUCAAAAUUUCCAAAUCACGUUUUUCGACUGAAAAAGGCACUUUAUGGACUAAAACAAGCUCCGCGAGCAUGGUACGAACGCUUAACAAAAUAUCUUUUGGAAAAGGGCUAUAACCGAGGGGGAGCAGAUAGAACUCUUUUUGUGAAACACCUGAAGGAUAAUUUCAUUGUAGCAGAAAUAUAUGUGGAUGACAUAGUUUUUGGGGCUACUAAAGAUAAGGAUGCCGCUGAUUUUGCAAAGUUAAUGACCAGUGAGUUUGAGAUGUCAAUGAUGGGGGAGCUUAAUUAUUUCCUCGGGCUUCAAGUCAAACAAUCAAAAGAUGGAAUUCAUUUGUCACAGACAAAGUAUGCGAAGGAACUAGUUAAGAAAUUUGGAUUAGAAAGUGCAAAGGAUUUUGACACUCCAAUGGGUACAAGCAACAAAGGACUGGGAUUGAAUUCAGAAGGUCAGAGUGUGGAUGAGAAACAAUACAGGAGCAUGAUUGGUAGCUUAUUGUACUUGACUGCGAGCAGACCAGAUAUUGCGUUUAGUGUUGGAAUUUGUGCUCGUUAUCAGGCUAACCCUAAGGAAGUACAUCUGAAAGCAGUGAAAAGAAUCAUUCGGUAUGUUAAAGGAACAACCGAGUAUGGCCUCUGGUAUCCAAUGGGAACAUCUCUUGACCUAAUCGGCUACCCGGAUGCUGACUGGGCAGGGUCCGCAGAUGAUCGAAAAAGUACUAGUGGAGCUUGUUUUUACAUUGGACAUUGUUUGGUUGCUUGGCACAGUAAGAAGCAAAAUUGUAUUGCUCUUUCCACUGCAGAAGCUGAAUACAUUGCGGCUGGAAGUUGCUCUACUCAAUUAAUUUGGAUGAAAAGCUUACUGAGCGACUAUCGGAUUCCUUCUACCACUCUAACUAUUCUGUGUGACAACACGAGUGCAAUUAAUAUUUCUAAAAACUCUGUUUUACAUUCUCGAACAAAACAUAUUGAACUAAGAUAUCAUUUUUUAAGAGAACUGGUAGAAUCAAACGUUUUACAACUUGAAUACAUUUCAACUGAAAAUCAACUUGCCGAUAUUCUAACCAAACCUUUGGAUCAAAAGCGUUUUCUGCAUUUAAGAAAGGCAAUUGGUAUGAAUCCUUCAAUCUAGAUAUAUUCUAUUGAGCCACAGACCAUGUGCAUGUUGCAUAUUUUGUUUCGUUUCUUGCAUGAUUUUCGGUGUUUGAGGGUUGAUUGAUUUUUUUGCAUGAUGUUGCUGUUUUGGGAGAUGAGUUGAUCUGUGAAUUUAAGUAUUUCAUAUUUAAUUUUUGAUUAAUCACUGUCAGAGUUAUUCUUUAUUGGCAUAUUUUUGAACGAUCAAAUCAUUGAAAUUCUAUUUAACAUAUUGAAUCAAAUUCAGCACCUCAGGCUUUGAACUUUGAAUAUUGCAAUUGUUUGUUUGAUUAUUAGUUUUGAGAUGAUUAAAUCUUUCUCUAUUUUUGAAAUUGCGAUAAUAUUUUUGACUUGAGGGUUGCACUAAUUUAGGGGGAGUCUUGCCUAUUUUAGCUAUGAAAAUUUAUGAAAUACAAGAUGUGGAAAGAGUUACAUCCCCGCUGGGAGUGUGAAAACUACCACCACAUGGAGGAAAGAGCUACCACCCCGGUCGUCCGGUCAGUGUGUGCAGCUACCACAUGAUGAUCAAUAUAUCUCUAUGAGCUAAAAGCCAAUAAAGAAUGAAUCAAUAUGAGAUGUUGUGGAGAUGGUAAAAUUCUAAUACUAUGUUUAAUACAUCUCCUAGGCGAUAUAAGGUGGUUUGUUAAAAGAUGCUCAAAGAGCCACUCUUAUCUCGAAUUAUGUGCAUAACUCAAGUUGAGAAUAUUCUUUUAAUUUCAUGAUUAUGAGAUUUAUUUAUUCAAUUUCUUAACAAAUAUGAUGAUAAAAUGAUACAAUUUAUCCCUAGAUCUUGCGUGAUGUGUGGAAUUUUAUUUGAUACUUAUCAAGAAUUUUAUUUGAUUUUCGGAUCAACAAUAUUUGCCAAAUUGAAUAUCUUUGAGAUUGUUUUUCAAAAUUUAUUUAUGAAAUUUUAUUGGAAGUCUUUGGGGAUGGAUAUUGUGUAUUUUGAUGUUGGAUAUAUUGAGGAUAUUAUAUAAAAUUUCUAAAAAUUCUGGACGAAUAUUAGAUUUUUAGGUUUUGGCUCUGGGACCGGUCCCAGACUUGGAGAGACCGGUCCCUCCACCCGAACCGAUAUAAGGGUUUUGCGGUCUGUUUCUUUUUACUUUACCAAUUUCGUUCAAACUUCUCUCCAGAGCUUCUAAUAUCCCUAGGGUGCUUUUGCUUCCAUUCUUCAUUAAUUUACACUUGAUUUUGGUAUGAUUCUCGGAUUUUAUUUCGUUGUUGUCUUAUACUCCGAAUUUAUGCUUUGUUUUCAGUUUUUUUGGGAUUUGAUCUCAUUAUGUUGUUAAAACUCUUCAUUUUUGCCCUGAUCUUACCUCUAGACAUGUUAGUCAACAUUUUCAUGCAUUAUUCCAUACUUUGAUUGUCACGCCCCGCGACCGCUACCAAUUUGGUCCGGCCCGGGCGCGUCGAACAGACGCCGAACGGACAGGACCUCCCCUGUCCGUCCAAGGCUAACCAACAGAUCGUGCAUAAGAAUUUACCCAGGAAUCAAUUCAUAAAUACACGAUCAAUAAGCACCACUAGUGCUAUAAACAAGAGCAAGAUACAAGUAUAGAAACAUAUACAAGUACAUAAGAGAGAAGAGACUAUCUAUUACAUUCAUUUGAUUUACUACAUUUAGAUACAUCUUUUACAUUCUUCCAAAAUAUAAAUACAAGCAAUCAACCCUCACCCUAUACAACAUCUACUCUCAAAUACAAAAUGGGUGACGGCUAAUGCAAGAAGAGGAGGUAGCUAAUGCGACUAGAACGCCGGGCCCUUACCGCGAUCCUCGCGCUCACCGGGGAUGCCCGAACUGGAACCUGUGGUAAAAUGGGGGUGAGAACUAACUUCCUUAGUUCCCAGUGGGUUCGGCCGCCGACUCCGCCGAUCUCCCCACUAGGUCCAAGCGGGCAUAAGUAGACAAUCGAUAGAUAGGUAGAUAGAUAAGGAAAGCUGUAAAUGGCGGAAAUGAAGCUACUCUACUAUGCCCAAUCAUAAUAUAUGAUGCAUGUACAAUGAAAUAGGUAAGCAGCUAACCAGUUAUUAUGUCCAAAGAUAAAGCUAUUCACUCGGUCGUUUUCCUCAUUUACCUGUUCAUCAAUCUCGUGGCUUACCCGAAGGCUCGCCUACAGCUCACUAGCCAUCUCGACACGUAGGGAGAAUUAACUCACACUACGGACCCGAGACCGUCUGGCGGGGCCAAAUAGGCAAUCCCUGGCGUGACCAACAUCCGGAGCGCACUACUUGUGUGGGGCUUCCAUCACAAGAUUUAAACAGACCGUGAGCAUGAUCCAAUCCUCUAAGCUCGAGGAUACCCUGUCCUCUAGAGUCACAAUCAUCAUAUAGUCCAUAGGUUUCAUAUACACUAUGACUCACAUAUGUGUCAUUUGUUCUCUUGCUUACUAUCAACUAAAUGCCACCCGUCCAUUGUUUACUAUCGACUAGAUGCCACUCGUUCUUUGUUUAGCAUUAAACCAACCAUUGAGCCCAUCACUUUCUCGGCACUAUAGGAUUCACAAGUCUCGACCCAAUCCUUAUCAAUCCACUACGUCAAAUAUCCAAUACAUGCUACGAUAUCAUCAAGGAAGGCAUAAGGAAAGGCAAUGCAUAAUCAUCCUAUAAUGCAAUAAUGCAAGAUGCAAGAGUCGACAUGUACUAAGACAUAGAAGGGAGCCCGAUUGCUUCGGGAUGGACACCACCCACCUCUUGGCGAUGCCGCGAUGAUGGAAAACUCGACGUUGCGGUCUUUGCACGUCGCUUCAACUCCUCGGGGCGAAGCGAGCCCUCGAGUACCCGAUUCGGCGAUAACUCCGCACUCGUUCGUCGGAUCGGCAAACCGUCUUCGCCGACGCGUUCCGAGACCUAGCAAUUUGGUUAGCGACCCAACAAAUUAGAUCAAAACCCUAGAUUUCCCAAAAUCCCAAUCCGUGCCCUAGAAUGGCGACGAGAGGGAAAUCCACGGUACGAGCUUCGAUUUUUUGAGCUCGAACCUUCUCCCUAGUUCCAUUAGGUCCCAUUCAAACCAUAAAAACCCCAAAACCCUAGAAACACGAUUAAAGGGUUUAGAGCUUACCCCUACACAAGGUUCCUUCAAGCUUGAGGGAGAGGGAGAGAAGAAGAUAUCUUCUUCUUCUUCUUCUUCUUAGUCUUCUCUUUCUCUUUCUUCUUCUUUCUCUUCUUCUUCUCCUUCCUCUUCUUCUUCUCCUUCUUCUCUUUCUUUUCUUUUCUUUCUUAGAGAGAGAGAGAAAAGAGGGUAAGAGAGAGAGAGAAAGCAGCUGAGAGUGAGAGAGAGGGGUCCCCCACCUCUAAUAAAGGCCAUUUUGCAUAAAAGCCCCUCAACUUUCACCCUAGUGCACUACCCUCACUGGGCAGUUUUCGCGCAGAGGGACCGGUCUCCCCGACUUGGGACCGGUCCCCGAAGGCUGCCAUUUCGAGCAGAGGGAUUUUCGCGUUCGGGAACCGGUCCUUGCCUGAGAGACCGGUCCCCGGGAGACCGGUCCUUGUCCGAGAGACCGGUUCCCGAGAGCUGCAUUCUCGGGACUUAGCCAAAUUUGGCUAAGUCUCGCCAGGCCAACGUUCGGGAACCGGUCCCUGCCCGCCAGGGACCGGUCUCAUCAGAGACCUCCGCAACCCAGCCUGAUGGAACCGGUCCCUCCCUGCCAGGGACCGGUCCCCGAGAGCAUUUCUGCUCCAGUGCAGAUUUUGCACUCGUGCUCCCGCGGACCCUUCUUUAAUGCACUUUAUGCAUUAUAAUCGCCUUCGGACUUUCCGAAGCCUACACCCUCGACGAAUAGUCGAUUCUAAUCGAAGUCUAAUCCUCGAGUUUCGAGAAUUCACUUCCUUACANAUGAAGCGCUUGUUGAAUAUGAUUUUUGACAAAUUAGGAUGUUGUCGGGCAGAUUUACCUCCGGGAGAUGAUUCUGACUAGGAGUUACCGGGCUUCUCUUUUUGUCGUUUUGGCGCUUUCUGACAAAAAGGGGGAGAUUGAUGAUGAUGAUGAUGAUGCUUUAUUCUUGAUUUUGAUGAUGAUGUAUUUAGCUAAGAUGAACUUUGUUUAGUUAGUGCUUUAGGUGUUUGUGAUUAUGAACUAUGACUUGAUAGUUUGUUUGAUCUUGAUACUUGAUCUUGAUACUUGAAUCUUGAUUAUGCUUUGAGAAUGUUUUUGCAGGAAUAAUUCAAGACUUCAAGACUCCAUGUCUAAGUCAUAGAGUUUGUAUUAAGGGUGUACAAGCGUAAAUUUCGUUUUUUUUUGGAUUGAUCAUGCAAGAGAUUAUCGUUUGGUGAUUGCGAUGAUCUUCUUUUUAUGAUUUAUUAGUUGUAUACAAACUUUGUAGUAUAUUUUAUUACGAAAUCGCCAAAGGGGGAGAUUGUUAAGGAUUUUAUAGGUUGGCGAAUUUCGUAAAGUUGUUUGGAGUCUUGAAGAGUUGAUCGCAGAAGUUAUUCAAAUUGGAGAACGAAGACUCAUUCGGAAAGCUCGACACCUAAAGUAUGAAGAAAAGAUUAUUUGUGGUGAAGAUACCUGUAAUGCACUGGAUCUUAGCAAAUUGCAAGAUUCGAGUGUUUGAUCUGUAUGUGGAGCCUUUCCACAGUUUUUGGAGGGUCGUUGAUAGUGUCCCGACCCCUGGCACGCAUCCCGAGGAUGUUGGAGUAGGACUUGGCACCAAAAUUCCAAAAUCGGAAUUUUUGGACAGCUCUCGGGUAGCCUGCAGCAGGGCUUGUACCGGAACAAGACUGGCCUUGUACCGGUACAAGGGUUGAUGGUUGUACCGGUACAGCCAUCGGGCUUGUACCGGUACAGAGCCGCAGACCGAGCAACCCGAGCUUCGGGUUUGCAUUUUCGUCGGCCUUGUACCGGUACAAGAACCCGUGUACCGGUACAAGGAGGCAGAUUUCGUGCAGAAUGAAACUGCAGGGGGUUUUGUGCGUUUGUAGCCUUCUAUUAGUAACCCCACGCCCCUAGGGCAUCUCCUGAGCUUGGAACCUGCAGGGAGAAAGGUGAGGAAGCCCUCCACACCUUCCUUUGUGAUUUCUUUGAUUUUGGUUGGGGUUUUAAGAGAUUAAACCUUCUUUUUUGCUCCUUUUGCUUGUUGGAAGCUUUUCCACCAUUGGAGCUUGAUUUUGGAGCUUGGUAGAGGGAAGAUCUUGGGACUUGGAUAGUUUAGAGCUUGGAUUGAAGCUUCUAAGAGGUAAGCAACAUGUUCUCUCCCUCUAGAUUCAAGUUUUAUUGAAGAUUUUGAGAUGAAACCCUAGAAUGAGGUUUUAGGGUUAAUAUUGGGCAUUUUGAAUCUAGGACUUUUGAAGCUAGAUUGAGUGGAUUAGAGGCUUCCAUUAGGUUGGAUUGGAUGAGCCCUAGCUUCAUUUUGGAGCUUUAGAGGAGAUUUUGCACUAGAGGUGAGUUUUCUACACCUAUGCUUGAAUAGCUUAAUGAUUGAGCUAUUGGUUAUUCGUAUGGUUCGUGUGACGCUUGUUCUUGUACCUCUAGGAUACUAGGAGACUAGAGGACACCCUCGUGGGAGCGCACGAGGAGUUUCGUUGUCAUCGGUGGGUUUGGCUUCCUUGAAAUCGGAGGAAAAUUCCUCCGAAGUGGUUAAAUGCUUUCAUGCUCCUUAAAUUCAUGCAUAUUCAUGUUUAGUAGCAUUUAUGAGAGUUUUUGAAUGCUUAGAACUCAUAUGUUGUGCAUCAAGAAAAUUUACUCUAUGUAGUAGAGAGAGAGAGACAAUGUGCUUUGUUAAUAUGCAUGCGACGAAUAUUCUAUGAGAUGAUAGGAAAUCAAGAUUCAUGCUUCGAUUUUGACUAGAACUAUAAGUUCUUGAACUUAGUAUCCAUGUUGGGACAAAAUGAGCCAUAGUGUCAUAAAGAGGCACUUGGACUAUUGUGUAUUUUUGAUGUUGAAUAUGUUGGGGAUAUUAUAUAAAAUUUUUGAAAAUUUUGGACGAAAAUUAGUUUUUUAGGUUUUGGCUCUGGGACCGGUCCCAGACUUGGAGAGACCGGUCCCUCCGCCCGAACUGAUAUAAGGGUUUUUGCGGUCUGUGUCUUUUUACUUUACCAAUUUCGUUCAAACUUCACUCCAGAGCUUCUAAUAUCCCUAGGGUGCUUUUGCUUCCAUUCUUCAUCAAUUUACACUUGAUUUUGGUAUGAUUCUCGGAUUUUGUUUCGUUGUUGUCUUAUAAUCCGAAUUUAUGCUUUCUUUUCAGUUUUUGAGAAUUUGAUCUCAUUAUGUUGUUAAAUCUCUUCAUUUUUGCCUGAUCUUACCUCUAGACAUGUUAGUCAACAUAUUCAUGCAUUAUUCCAUACUUUGAUACAAUUGUUUGGUUGUUUUUGCUAUAUUUUCUUCAUCAAAACCUAAUUUUUUCAAUUUUUUCGGAAAAAUGUGAUUUUAUGGAUUUUUGUUGCUUGAUUUGUCCAUGAUUUUCUUGGUUAUGUGGCCCUAGGAUUAUCUAGCAUAUUACAUAUCAAUUUGCUAAAGUUUUUUUUGGAAUCACAAAUCGAUUGUUCUUAUGUUCAAAAUGUAUAAAUCAUUGUGUUUGACAGGGGUUUCUUCGAAAAUGUACUCGUGGCUACUUGUUCUUGUGGUUCUUAUGGCUGGCGGUGGUCGUGGAAGUAAGCGACAGCGCUCAAAAGCUAAAAGGUCGAUUGAGUAUCAACCGGAGGAUGAAGAGAGCGAAUAUGCUCCUGGCGAUGAUUCUGAGGAGGACGAGCCGGAUUGGGAGACUUUUGUUCCUGAGGUAUUAGCUAAGGAUAAGGAUACUGCGAAAGGCAAGGGAAAAGGAAAAGCCGUGGAUAAAGGCAAAGGAAAGGCGACUGAGCGUCUCGGUCGUCGUAAGUCCGGGGGUGUUGAAAUUCGAGAACCGGGCUCUGAGCCACCACGUCAUAGUCUACAGGAUGUUCCAUCUAAUCGACGGUCAAUGUAUUCGUCGAAACACUGCAUUGGUGAGCGAGAUGUUGGGGUGGCCAGUAUCACUAGUUGUGUGCCGGGUUUUCAGGAUUUAUUUGAACGGGGAAAUCUUCAUCAGAUUUGUGAUUUCCCGGAGCAAACCGGUUAUUGCUUGGAGUUGAUCAGAGAAUUUUACAUGAGAGCAGGUCACCUUAGUGACUCCGACGGCGGUCCGUACGUAUUUAAAACUUCCGUACGUGGUGUUGAGUUAUCCAUCACUCCUGAGACAAUAGCUUCGGUGCUAGAGAUGGAGGCAAAGACUGACGGAGUGGAGUAUCUGCAGGCCGGGUUCGACUCACUUCGCGAUUGGAACCGUGUCUUGAACACUAUUUGCAUGCCGGGUACUGAAUCAAACGGCAUUAUGGUUAUGUCCAAAGAUUUCAAAAUGGAGUACAGAUUUCUGAACUUCGUGGUUUGCUACAACAUCAUGCCUCUCGCGAACACGAAAAUCUUGAGAUGGGAUCGCAUUCUGUACAUGUAUCUCUUGGGUAGGCCGGAUAUUGUAAGUGCCAAAAAUAUUAACAUGAAUAUUCCGUUUCUGAUCUGGCGGAGAAUGGCAAAAGAUAUCAAGACUUCCGGGCAAAAUGAGAGGUUACCAUUUCCUUUGAUAAUCAUGAGGAUUCUGCGACUUCGCGAAGUGGAUGUUCGUUGUACAUCAUACGAGCACAGUUUGGGUCGGAUAAAUGAACGGACAUUUGUGAAGUCCUCGGUGCAGCUUCGUACACCGUCUCAGCGUGCAUCUUCCCCUCCUGCAGCUCCACCUCCUGCUACUGCUACUUCUUCCCGUCCUUCUAUGGACAUUUCUGAGGAAGAUAUUUUCGUUUCAUCGGUGUAUCGCGAGCAGCAACGUCUAUCUGAGGAGCUUCAGAAGUUGUCUGCAGAACAAGCUGCGAUUCGUAAGGAUGUGAGCAAGAUGAAGCGCUUGUUGAAUAUGAUUUUUGACAANUGGAGUUGCAGCAAGGUCGAUUGGUGGAUUCCUAUCGAUCGAGGACCGGCAAAGAUCACCGUCAACAAGAAAUCGGUAAAUUGAGUCGUGUAAUUUCGUCGAAAUCACUUGUACUCGAGUUUUCUUAGUGGAUUUUCUUUGCGUGAUCGGUCCCGUGGGUUUUUCACUCCGAUUUGGAGUUUUCCCACGUUAAAUUCUCGGUGUGCUGUUUUAAUUUCCGCUACUUUGUUUUGUUUGCAUCGGGUUUUUCGAGUUUGCCGGAUUUACACCUAUUCACCCCCCCUCUAGGUGUUACUUACCUUUUAGAUCCUUGGGAUCCAUAUCUCACAUGGUUGUCUCUUAAUUUUGAAAUGAAAGACAUGGGUGAGGCGAGCUAUGUGCUUGGAGUGAAGGUCAUCCGUGAUCGCUCUAGAAAGAUUCUUAGUUUGUCUCAAGAAACUUAUAUUAAAAUGAUUCUAGAGUGUUUUAGGAUGCAUCAUUGCAAACCCGUUGACACUCCAGUGGAAAAGAAUCACACUUUGAGUCUUGAUCAGUGCCCUAAAACGGAUAAAGAAAAGGAGCAAAUGAGUAGGGUUCCUUAUGCGAGUGCAAUUGGCAGUUUGAUGUACGCUAUGAUGUGUACUCGACCUGACAUUUGCUUUGCUGUUAGCUUGGUAAGUCGUUACCAGAGCAACCCAAGACCUAUUCAUUGGCAAGCGGUCAAGAGAAUCCUUCGAUAUUUAAAAGGAACCAGUGAUCUCGUUCUCUGUUUUCAAGGUGGGGACUUGAGAUUAAAAGGAUAUAGUGUUGCUGAUUGGGAUGGUGAUAGAGAUGAGCGCAGGUCCACUUCAGGCUAUGUGUUUAUUCUUGGAGGUGGUGCAAUUUCUUGUGUAGUAAGAAGCAGAGCUGUAUUGUCUUGUCAACCAUGGAAGCGGAGUACGUUGCUUGUUCAGCGGCCAUUCAGGAGGCUGUUUGGCUGAGGAGAUUUCUCCAGCACCUCGACAUCGUGACUCGAGCAAAUGAACCUGUCGAGAUGUUCUCUGACAGCAUGGCUGCCCUGAAGUAUGUGAAAGAUCCAAAGUAUCAUGGCAGGACCAAGCAUAUUGUACAUUCGAGAGAUGAUCAGGGUAGACGAGGUCAUUCUUAGACACAUCUCCACCACUAGGAUGGUGGCUGAUCCGUUGACAAAGCCGAUAGCUAAGGAUAUGUUCCUGACCCACAUUAAGAGUUUGGGUCUUCGUAGGUUUUGAUAUGGACAUUAUUUUGUAUCUUACGCUUUAUUAAUGAAAAUAUGUUUUUCUCCUUUUAAUGAGAUAGCGUAAUUAAUAUUAGUAGGCACAUAUUCGUUAAGUCACCGGGCUCAGAUCAGCCCACUCACACGUGUGAUCGCCCUGGCACCUAAGUGGUGAGCAGGAUGAGACUAGAUAAUCAUAUUAAACUUGAGUAGUUGUUGUAAUAUGAUUACUUUGUUCAUAUACGUUAUGAAUGAAGUGUUGACAUAAUUUAAAAGUCGCCUUAAUUAGUUUAAGAUGAGACUCUAAAGAGUUGGAUAUGAAAGUUUUUUUGAGAAAUUUCAUAUCGAGCCUGUAUAGUAGCCGGACCUAAGUGCUCAGGUUAGAGAGAUGACUUGAGUUGUGGUGGUUAGAUACCUUAGUGGUACCUAAACCAAGGUUCGUAUUGUGUUUUUUUAAAGCGUGACGUGACCCAUUGAGUGGGAGCUCCGCCAUAGCAUACAUAUCAUACUGUAUGUGCCUGUCGACCAGUUAGUAGAGUGACAUAAGUUCUUCCCUCCAUGUCACUGUGUGAGCACUAACCCUUUUGUGCCCUCGACUUAGAACUACGUUAUGAAGUGGAGGUCCAAAGUAACUAACUUAGCAUGUAUCUCAGGGUCAUGAGAAAAUACGAUCUCGCGGAGCAUGUCUAGUAAAGUGCUUGGACCAAUACGGAUUAACGUGAGGGGCUGAGGAAGAUGUUUCGAUAACACACCACGUAAGUCUUGUGACUCAUUGCCCGGGCGGUUAUCUCGGUUGUGUUACUUGAGAUAAUCAUGAGUACGAGAAAUAACGGUAGGGUCGAGCCCUGUCAUUACAGGAGAGGGACUUUGUGAUGCUUGAUCCGGUGUGUGUUGAAACGUCUAGGGCAUAGAUGAAUUAAGUCAGUGAUGUGCUAUGUUAGUUGGGUGGUGACUUAAUAUAGCACUCCUGCAUGUGUUUCUUUCGUCAGGUCGCACGCUCCAUUACCCGUAUGAAGAGAUGAAUGAAUAAGAGAGAAUUGGCCAAUGUGGCCAAGUGGGAGAUUGUAGCCAUGUGGUGUGUCCACAUUGGCGGGUUUUAAUUUAACCCGAUCCACUUAAGAUGUGGAUUGGAAUUUAGCCUAAUAAGUUUAGGAUAAGAAUAAAUCCUAGGUUUCUUAUUAGUUAAGAAACGUAUCUACUAAUGUAUAUCUAUUAUAUGUUAAUAGAUAUCCUGAUCCUUAUUCUAAUCUAUAUGAGAAUCAGGAUAUUUAGGGGUUCCGUUAUUCUAUAUAUACGCCCCCUUUUCUCUCCGGAAAAAGUGACGAUCGCAUACGAUCAAAUUCGUAAGAACCAACGAAAUAUCUUCCUUAUUCUCUCUCUUCUUCCUCUCUGGGAUUUCUACCUACGUUCCCGGGGUUUUAGAGUGUGGACGUAGAAGAGGACUUUGGUAGCUCUCUUCGAUUGGCAUCCGUCGCAUCAGAUCCGCAUCCAAUCCGUGGCGUAAGGCGUACGCGUGGGAGAAGGCGAGAAACGUGGGACAUCCAGAAGCAUCGAGACAAGGAUGAUUCAAGAAGGCUUGUAAAACAAGUAAUCCGAUCUGAUUCGGACUUCCGGAUACGUUGGCUAUCCGGUUUGUAAGUUUCCGCUGCCUAUUAUUUCCAACACAGUAGAAUGGAAUAUUGAACCUCUUGGUGCAAUUAUCGUGUGAUACAAUCCUUCUAUUAUGAGUCCCGACUAGACGGAGGUUAUGGAAUAACUCGUCAAACCCCAUCGUCUGUCAUAUGUCAAAUUUAUUCGACUCAAAUUUCUAAUAUCGGAAACCCUUUUUCGCUAUUAACUCUGCCCUGGCCAAGGUCUUCUAAACUCGGUCUCAUAAAUCACAUAGGACUAACGCCCAUAUCUACCAAGGGAGAUAGAUUCCAUCUGAGUGCGCACCCUAUUCCUACAAUGAAUCUACUGCAGCCAACAUGCACCGCAAGGACCCGAAUGGCUAGGGACCAAGUGUAUGUACAGUCAAACUACAGUAACCUCAUUAUGAAUAGCCGAGGCACCGCAGGUCAAAGGACCAGUUACACUACUGUAAUAUUGAGUAAGUCACUGACGAGUGAGUAGACAUCCAAGUGACUUUUCGUGUUGGUCACGCUCGGUACCUUUGUUCUCUAACAACCACCUGCAUAUUCGCUUUAGUAUCCCCACACUGUUGACUCGAGACUCGUUUACCUAAAAAGGGAAGCGACCUAUGCACCAAUCUUACCGGAUCAAUCACCGUCCCCAUGAUGAUCCAUUGAUUGAGAGCAUUUAGGAAUUAACCACCAAUGACACAUGUAUUAAAUUCUCAAUUUUUGAGAAUAUAUGUCAUCAUCUUAUUAAUUCCUUGGACGAUUUAUGGACACAUACACAAUAUGAAUGGAAAUAAGAACCCAAAAUUAUUCAUAAUAAUUUAAAGUUAAAUACAAAUUUAUGUCCUAGAAAGGAUACAUGUGUCGGCCUGGUUGGCUUCUAGGGCAUACAUCUAACAAGCCAUAGGUCGGAACACUGUCAACGACCCUCCAGAAUAUCUGAAAAAACUCGGAACACAAAUCAAGCACUCGAACCUUGCGUUUUGCAAAGAUCCAGUGCGUUACAAUCCCCCACCCUGCCGCCGAUGCCGCCGCUCCCCCCACGCCACCGCCGCGCACUGCGGGAUCUACGCCGCCGACACCGUCCCUGCCUUCGUUCUCAGCACCAUCGCUUCAGCGCUCAGCGGCGCCAGCAUCGGGGCGAAAUCAAGCCUCGACGAAAAAGGAAGAGAGAGGUAGGGAGAGAGCAGAGAGCUAGCUCAGGGAGAGAGGUAUCGGAAGAGGCGAGAUAGGAAGAAGGGGAAGAGGGCAGAGAAGAUUUGAUACUUUCUUAAGAAGGAUGGGGAAGAUUUUGAACUUUUCCAAGAAUGGGGAGAUUUCAAAAAAUUUGGUAGAUUUCCAAGAAGGGAAGAUUUGGUAGAUUUCCAAGAAUGAGGGAAGAUUUGAGAAGAUUUUGUACAUUUUCAAAAGAGGAGAGAAUUACUUUUUCAAGAAGAAGGAGGGGAGAGCUGUAAUUUAUUGAGAGGUUGACACGUAUGCCAUCCAGAACUGUCAAAUUAUAGUAUGUAUAGACAGAUUCUAGAAUGCAAUACUUAUAUUGCUCAUGUGAUGUUCCUAAAUUAUCAGAAAGCUCUCUUAGGCUUCGUUUGAAUCGGGUAUUAGCAGGAACUGGUUAUUUUAGAGAUAGGUACAAGUUCAGAUAUAAAUAAGAAUUAGAUCAAUUUUCCAUCUGGAUGAAAACUGGAUUGUUUUUGAGAAUAAAAAAAUAGCGUUUGGAUAGAUAAGAUGUAAUAAAAAGAAUAGUGGGUAAUUAUAAAUAAAAAAUAAUGAUAUUACCCUUCUUAUUAAAUUUGAAUUUGAAUUUUAAAUUUUGUAUUUGAAUUUUUAAAUUUAAAUUUAGAAUUUAAAAUUUAAAAUCUCAAAUUGUAAAUUUUAAAAUUCAAAAUUUUAAUUUUAAAUUUUAAAUUUAAGAUCAAAUUAAAAUUUUAAAAUUUAAAUUUUUAAAAAUUAUAAAUUUUAAUUUUAAAAUUACAAAUUAUAAAUUUUGUAAUAAAUUAAAAAUUAUAAAUUUAUAAUUCUGUCUGAAACAAGCUGCUUGUUCCAGCUUGUUCCACCUAAGGGGUGGGAACAAUAAUUUCCGCCCCUUAAACUCUAGAAUAAAUCGUUAAGAUGGAACUAUUGUUCCCACCAAAAUUUUUUUGUUUGGAUAUAAGGAAAGAAGCAUUUAUUCUCUUCUUUAUACCCCAAACACAAUCCCAGAGUUAAUCCAUUUGAUCAUAAUUUUUUUAAAAAAAUAUUCAUUAUAUAUAUUUUUUAAAAAAAUAUAAUUAAUCGAUAUGAUGGUGUAAGUGCGUCGCUGUAGACUUUCUCCCCUGUUUCGGUCGGGUGAUUAGAUAAAGAGAUGUGACUGACUAGCAUUUGCUCGUCCGAGUAUUGGCCGGAAAGUUGUCGGGUGGUGCCGAGUGACCGCCGAUUUUGGUAGAGACGGACGGGUAUGGCGUCGCAGUCCUCUUCUGCUUCUCCUUCUUUCCCUUCUCCUACUCGUUCGCCGCCUACUCCACCGUAUCCCAGUGCCGCUAAGAUCUCCGACUCCCCUUGCUUUCCCCAGUACACCGCUUCUCUCAAAUGUAACCUUCUUCUUCUUCUUCUUCUUCUUCUUCUUCUUCUUCUCUCUCUCUCUCUCUCUCUCUCUCUCUCUCUCUCGACACACACGCACACGCAUAUAUCCACACGCGCACCUCGAAUCAGAAGAAAACGAUUCUAUUUUAUUCCAGUUCGAGUGCCUUUCGGGUAGGUUUGGGUUGUUCGUGCAAGUUUAUCUCAGAUUAAUUUGCUUCUGUAGUGGUGGUUGUUGCUAAUUUAGGCAAAUUCUUUAGACAAACGUCGUGUAUGGUACGUCUGCAGGCUGAGUAAAGAGGGCCUUCUUGUGCUUACUUUUGAUGAUCUAUAAGCAAAAGGUUCUGGAUUUGGUAGCAAUUCUUCCAAUUUGUGGAAUCUGAUUGGAGAAGCAUGGGAUUUUUUCUUUUUUAUAUAUUUUUUUUUCCCCCGUAAGGCAAGGUGCAAUUGGCAUAACUAUGUUUGUUUCGACACAAAUCUAAAUGACAAAACCAUGUUGCUUGAAUUAUCCAUGAUCCACACUAAAAAUUGAUGAGACUAUUUUGAUUGAGCAUAAUUUUAUGCGAAGAUAUCAUAGCUCGAGAGUAUUAGAUGGUUUAUGAGAAAUGUCAUGUCAGCUUUUGCUGCAACAUUGGUAGCGAGGAUGCAGUCGAAUUGCAGAUUUUGGGACAAUAUAUAUUAGUAGCCGAGGACGCCUCCAUAGUAUAUGCACCACUAGAGAAGUUUGAUGCCUACAAGCUAUGGCUCAUGUUAUGGAAGAAACAUCAACUAGAAAUGGCAUUUAACCUUCUUAUUCGUCACAGCUUGCACCGUCUAGAGUUUCUUCUGUGUUCGAGACAAUCUUGACCAUAUCUAAUUUCACGAUCUGUGGUUUACUGAACAACUAUGAGCUGACUUGGUGUGUUUUGUGUUUUAAUCAGGAAUAAUAAUCUUUCACUGUUCUCCACAACCAUGAGAGGAACUUGUUGAACAAAGCAUUAUCUUGUUUGCAGUUAACGAUAAAUUUGUUGGACAGAACAUCUAUGUGAUCUAGCUGGGCGAUAGGCAUCUUAACUUUCAUUUCUAGUGAGACGAAGCUCUCUUAGUGUGAUAAUUUAGACAUGUGCCUCCAAAGUUAUGAACAAAACCAUCCUUUCUAAGUUAUAUACUUGUUUAAGUAUCACUUUUAUUUAUUGUUGAACCAAGCAAGAAAACUUGUUUGAAUCAUAUUGACAUUCUAAAUCUCGUUAUAAAAGUUCAGCAUAGUGAAAUAUUGAAAGAACAAUUCAUUUUAGAUCUAAUUAUGCAAGCCAGGUUGGAGUAAAGUUUGGGUCAGUUUACAUUUUUCAAUUUUUUUUUUUUUUUUUGACCUUUCGAUGUAACUAAUUUUUUCUAUUAGUUUUUGGACUUGAACUUUGUUUCAUUUUUUGGAAGUUUAAGGAACAAAUACAUACCAUUUACAUAUUUUUGUUGUGGAACAAAUCAAGCACUAUUGUGGAACAAUUUAAGCAUUACUGUUUUAAUAAGUAUAAAGCCGGAGUUCUAGAAUAUUAAAAGUAGUUUAGUUUGAAUUUUUUCUCAUGUAUCCAUGGCUCUGCCUCUACUGUGCUUCUCUCUCUCUCUCUCUCUCUCUCUCUUUGCUGUUCACAUAUAAUCUUGUGUCACCUUUUUCCUCCAGUAAACAUAUCGCUGCCAUUCUCUACUUUCCUUACAACCAAGCAAUGAAGCAACCCAAGGCCCCUGCGCUCCCACCAAUGUGAAGCUUGAGAUAGACAACCACUGGACGUCUCUUCUGCCUCCUUAUAUCAAUGCUUACCUCAUGUUGGAUCAUCACCGUCAUUUCUUUUUUAUCCGAACUUCUCAGAGAAAAAAAACCCCUAGUUUGGAAUUUCCUACAAGAAUCUGUGCUGCCUGAAUUUCAAAGAUAAGUUCUUGCUACUCGCAGAUCAAGCUCGCUGUUUUGGUUUUGCAAAAAGUCCCCUUCUGUCUUGAAAAUUCAAAAAUCGUCCUUGCAAUUUUAUAUUGCUUUAGUUUUAUGUUCUAUGGCAGCUUGUACCUUUUGAAAUCCCUGCGCUGCAUCAAAGAAUAUGUAGUGGGUGCUUCAUUUCUGAUAUGGGUUUUGUUAAAUAUUUCCCUCGGAAUAGAAGCCAUGGCACAAUGACUGCUUACUAUACCUUUCUUCUGGUUGAGCACAUAAUAAGUUGCUCCACAAAUGAAGUUCUGGAGGCAGGUUAAAACCUAUGCUUUGGUUUCUCAUUGCUGAACCUUUUAGUGAUGAUGUCAGUUCAAAUCAACUCAAAUAUAUGCAUAUUCAUCUUUUUGUGACUUACUAGAUAUUAUUCAUAUCAUUCUGUUAAGACCACCCAAGAAGGAAAUGAGAGAAGCCAUAAUUAAGAAGUGGAUUCUAAAGGCAAUUGUCCUAAUGAAGCUCUCCAAUAGAUGAAUUAAACAUUUAGGUUGCUAUUAAAUGGGAAUGGCAAUAAAGGAGGACAUUUUUUACAAGUUUAUUUGAGAAGAAAAGUAAAAUUCGUGCUGCUUCAAGCCUCUAAAAGUAAAUCUACCUCCUAGGUAAAAUUAGUGCCGCAUUGUAAUGUGCUUCUUUGAUCCGUGCAAGUGUAGCAUAGGAAUCAAGAUGGAUAACUACUUAAUGAAUGUCUGCAAAUAGUUAACCUCUUUUAAACUAAUUACAUUGAUUAUUUUGAAUAUAUAAUUCUGAUUGAAUUUGGAAUACUGUUUAUGCAUUUUAUUCUAGUUGUUGUCACCAUUAAUAUGAAUUUUCUAAGAGACCCUAUAUCAUUUUAUAUGUGAUUAACAGUUGUUUAUAAGGAUAGCAUGGUUUUCUCAUACAUUUUCCAGGCACUGCCAUUAAAACAAGCCUGUGGCAUUUAGAUCCUAAUAAAUUUCUCUGAAAUUAGGACUAUAGUUAUUAAAUUAUUCUUUCUAUAUUUCUAGUCCUUUCAGUCGUCCUUCAACUUUCUCCAUGAGGAAUUCAAAUGAUCAAGGCCGCUCCUAGUAAUCCUAACUAUGUACGUGUACCUUGACAAGUCUUUGACAUAGAUAAUUGCUUCAGCCAUACAAUAUGAUAGCAAAUUGUUCAUCAUAACUCGUAGACGGUAAAGAAAGGUUAGCUUAGCGAUACAUGGAAGGUGUCGCCUAGCCCUAACCUUGUGCAAGCUGAUGAGAAUACGUGAUAAUGAAGGAGAAAUGCCAAUAGGAUUUUAAGUUAAUAUGAGAAAUUAGUCUUGUUCUAGAACCUUUGGUUCAAUUUAAUACCUGAGCUGAAGUUGACUUGUAUCUCACUAUAUUCUUUAGUGUUGAUCUCUGAUAUAAAGUUAAUACCUGAACUGAUGAUGGUAAGUUCAGAGGAAAUCAUUAAUUUGGCCUGGAUCUAACACUUAAGAAUCUAGAUUAAUUCAUAUCUUCUAGGUUUCAAUUAAUAUCUCCCAAGAAAGGCAAUCGGAAUAAUUUUAUGUAGGUGUGCACCUUUUUAUAGAUGAUAUUUAGCGGACGGUACUGCCGAAUUUGAUACUCUAGAUGAUAAUUAUGUGUAUUGGACUUCUUGAGUAGUACAAGUUUUCCAAGGAAAAUUUAAUUUUCUUAGAGGAUAAAUAGGUAUUUAUUGUUUGCAACAGUAUUCUUUAUUGUUUGCAACAUUAUUCUAAAUGGAAGUUAUUGACAUCAAUGUACAUGUAUGCAAGACAACAGUUGCUUUAAAGGAACUGUUAAUUUUGGAAGUCUAGAUGAUACUUAUCUGUAGUGGAUUUCUUUAUUAUAAAUUUUGCAACAUAAAUUUCACUUUCUUAACAGGUAGAUAGGCAGUUAUUGUUUGCAACAGUAUUCUAAGUGGAAGCUAUUGAUAUCAAUGUACAAGUAUACAAGACAACAGUUACUUAAAAGAAUAAAUUCUAGUAAGUACAAGAUUAGCUUCUGGACCUAAUGUUUUAAUGCCAAUUAUCUUUUUAAAUAUAUUUCCAUGAAAUAUGGGUUUACAAGGAAAUUAGAAUAAGAUAAAAAAUGCCCACAAAGCUUGUAAAACGAUUUGAAUGCUCAGGAUUCAAGAUGAAAAAAAAAAGUUAUAACAAUUAGAAAAUAUUAGAUACGGUUGGAUAAGUUUAACAAUUAUUCAUUAACAAUUAGUCAUCAUUAAAAUAAUGGACUGCCAAACAGUAAUUAAUCAAUCAUCUUCCAUGACUGUGACUAUAAAAUGGUUCAAGUUAUUAUUUCUGCCUAUUGAUUUCAAUUCUUUUUUUUAAUAAUUAUACUUUUUCCCUAUAGCAACCUUUCUUUCAUCUUUCCGUCAGUUUGUAUGAUAACUUAAUUGAGGCAAAACAUUUUAGGUCUAGAAGCAUACCAGGACAAGAGCAAAUGUCAACAGCAGUUUGAUGACUAUAAAGAGUGUAAAAAGAAAGAGGUUUGGUGCCCUUUACUCUGAAGUGCUUUAUUUUUUUCUUGCAUUUUGAAAUUGGUUUAAAGAUGGUGUGAUUUAUAACCUUUUUUUUUCUCUAUUUGCUUUUUUCUUUUUAUAAUGUGAUGUUAGUUGCUAUCAUGAUGUGUUUGGUUAUUCUUUAAAUAGGAAAUGUUACUUCGACCAUAUCAACAUCAAAAACUUGUUUGGAAAUUUUGUUUUCUUAUUGUGUUUUCUCGGAGUACUAUUGUAACACACUGGACCUUUGCAAAUUGCGAGGUUCGAGUGUUUGGUUGUAUUUCGAGCUUUUCCGCACGUGGUGGAGGGUUGUAGAAUGUAUUCCGACCUAAAACGUUCGAAAACUGGAAUUCUGGACAAGUCCUGAGAGUUUUUACUCUCGGGGACCGGUCCCUGGAAGGAGAGACCGGUUCCCCCAGUGAGCAGUNAUUGUACUACUUAUGAUUUCUUUAUUGUCUAGCUUUACUUGCUCUGAUAUCAUUAGUUGAUAGUUAUUUCACCUCGUCGUUUGCUCUAUUCUUGCUUUUACUUCCGCUUUUGUUGUAGACGCCUUAUAUGUGUUGACAUAUGGCGGGUCUGGGCACGCUACCGGGAGGGCCUCCGCCGGUCCCGGGGCGUGACAACUAUGGUUGGGAAAGGCCUAAGCAUAGCCUAGAGUAGGGCCUCAUUUCGGGCUUGGUUAAUUUUCUGCAACACCUGAAAAUUAAAGAGGGGAGCAAAGGCUUAGUAUAGUAAAAUAAUAGUAGAUAUGAAGGAAUAAAGGAUAAAAGGAGCAAGAAUGGAAACUUAUUUUCAUCCAUGGUGAGUUAAGCGUCCUCGGGAGGAGGAGAUACACUCAUGGGAGCUAGGGUUUGUGGACAGUGGCAAUUGGAAAAGGGAGGCAUGGGGUUAAGAGGAGCUAAUGUUAUAGGGAUAGAGGAGGAGAUCGAAGAGGCAUCCAACAGGAUCUAACAAAGUGGAGGAGAGAGAGAUAUAGAUAUCCUUAGCGGAUCAGGUGGUCGGGGUACUAGAACCAGACCAAUACGUGUAGAUAAGACGGGCCUGGGUCUGAGCAGAAGAAAUCAAGCCAAGCCUAAGCCCAAGCCCAAGCCCAUGCCCAAAGAGCCUAGUCCUUCCUAGAUUGAGGUUCAAAUAGCCCAAUACUUUUGUUAAUUUCUUUGUUUUUCAGCUUAGUUCAACAUUUUAUACAUUUAAUGAGAAGUAUAAGAAGCCUAUGUAAAAAAAUCUAAGGGCAUGAAUGGAAUUUACAGGUUAUCUUCUUCUCCAAUUAUCCUCCUUCCUUCUAACCCCUCUAAUCCUCUCUAUUUCUUAAUACCAAUCUCUCUCUCUCUCUCUCGCCGUCUCUAUCUCUCUCUAUCAGUCUCUUUUCCCCCUCACUGUAUUUCCAAAAAUUCUCAAGUAGAUCGGAUACCCUAUUAUUCUCAUUGUCAUCUUCUCUCAGCUCGGGGUCAUCAUGGUGGGUUACGACUAAGUCUGGGUCAUAAAAACUUGGUGUCAUAGUGGUCAUAUCCUUGGGAAAGGUGUGGUGUAAUCGCACACUGAAUCUGAUUCUUGGAUCGUUGUAUUAGCUUCGCGAUCUAGCUCCUGUGCAGCGAGAGAUGAUUUCGAUUAGGUUUCGACAAAUAAGGCCACUGCUGAGGCCACAUUGAUCUUAAAGCCGCAAACUGGAUUGAGCUGAUUGCUCUAUAGGUUGUUGGAUCCCUGACCUGCUGCUCACAGCAAUUGCAGGUGGAUCCCAAACACCAUAGAGCCCACGCAGAGCAACAAAAACUUGUUAAGCCCCGCUUUCACACCAGAAGCCCACGGGGACGUCAACAGACUCGCCGAACGGAAGGAGUUUAUCCUGUCCGAAUGAAGUGUCAACAAAACAAAACAAUAGAAAAACAAUUCUAAUCCUAUAAUCAACAACGAAACGAUUUUGAGAGUCUACAACUAACAUCGAACAUGUAUCAGAGUUCUAUAAGUAAUAGUAAAGCUACUAUACAUCACCGUACAUGAAAUCAUCACUCCAAUAUAUAAAUGUACAAAGAAAAGACCCUGGCCUCGUCAGUCCUGAUGUACAGUAUAUAUCCAAAGACUAUCUAGCUAGAUGCUCCUCUAUAGCUCAUAUACACGGGUAGGACUUGCUAUCUACAGCACAAUGCACUUACCUCGAACAACCAUCGGCUUAGAAGACCCUGAAAAGUAAACCACAAGAGGGCGGGAGAACUACUAAACAUCAUUCUCAGUGGGUGCGGUCGGCGACAGCCACGAUCUUCCCACUAGGUCUUACUAGAGGCAAGAAUAGAAAAGAAUAGUAAAGCAUACUAUCAAAUGAGCUACAGAGUAUAAUAUGAACAAAUGUAAUUUUAUUAACUAUAAUACCUCUAUACAUGUAACGAACAGGAAAGGAAGUGUACUUUUACUAACUAUCAUGCCUCUAAACCAUAUGAACGAAUGUACUUUUACUAACUAUCAUAUCUCUACACAUGUAACGAACAAGAAAGUAAGUGUACUUUUACUAUCAUGCCUCUUACCCAUAUGAACAAAUGUACUUUUACUAACUAUCAUGUCUCUGUACAUGUAAUGAAUAGAAAAGGAAGUGUUCUUCUCCUGAGUGAAAUUUAUAUUAAUCCUGCACAUACUAAAGAUACUAAAAAGCAGUAAAGAUUAACCCAUGCAUCAGAGCUACAACUAAGCGAGUAAUAGAGCAUAAUAGGAAUAGAAAGAUAAUAUACUAUCAUGCUUCUCACGGGAUUAAUAUAAGCAGUAAAAAUAACCUAUCUCUAUGUAGAUCAAGAUGUAUCAAGCGAUAGUGCUCAUGCAUAAAUUAGAAUGAUAACAAUAAAGGUACCACAUGCCCCAAUCAUAUACAAAUGUAUCAUACAACCCUAUCAUACACUAACCAACUCAGAAGUCCGGUCACGCCUGCGUCUGCCUAUUGCCCGAACUAUACUCCCGCAGGUGCGCCGUCGACAAGUAGCUAUGCCUCCAGCCCGGAUACCACUCUCGCAGGUGGUCUGUCUUCUCAAAGGCAAAUAUCUAUACUAAAUCACAAGCCAGCGUUCCGGAGCAACAGUCGAAGGGUAGCAACCCUUACCCAGUAUAAUAGCAUAUGUCACUAUCAAGCUCAAUGUGGCUUUGCAGGUUAUGGCUGAUGCAAUGAUCAAAGAGAUUACAAGUACCCAAUCUAGUGUCCUCAAUGCAAUAGUAGAAUAUUCACUAAUUCAUAUGUGACGCUAAUACAAUGAUAGGGCAAUUCCUUAGUCAAAUGUCAGAAUAGAAUAUACAUGUUCUCUUUCUAUGUCCAACCAUCUAUCCACUAUCGCCGCGCUAACGUAUGGCCUCUAUCACAUAAAUCAUGACCUGUACAAUGCAAAUGGAUAAUAAAUAACUUAUCACUAUGUACAUGAUGUUAAAUGGCCCUUCUCGGUCUUAGUUAUCAUAUGCAAAAUAAUUGACUAAUAACAAUUUUACAUGCUAUGACCAAUAGACUUGUGGUUCAUGUAAUAUAGUAUAGAUUAUUAUCCACCCAUAUAGGAUAGAAAUUUAUUUCUCUACUCAAUUCUAUAUUAAAAUAGCCCUCUAACAUUAUAUAUGAUAUCCACAUGCAACUCUCUACUCGAUUUCAUGCUAAUAUCAUUUCUAUCAAUAUGUAUAGUCAUACAUAUAUAUCCGUAUGUCAUGCCUAGGGGUGGCAAUCCAGCUCACUGUUCACGAGCCAGUUCCGAAAUAAGCUCGAGAUCGAAUCGCUCGUUUAAUAAAUGAGCCGAACACGAGCUGAAUUUUUCAACUCGUUUAAUAAACGAGCUGAACACGAGCUGGGGUCAGCUCGCUCAUGUUUGGCUCGAUAACAGCUCAAAUACAUAUAUUUUAUAUUUAUAUAUAUAAAUAAAUAAUUAUAUAUAUAAAAUAUAAAUUUUUAUUAUUUGGUUUUUAGCUUAACCUAAAUAUAAAACCCAACUCAAUUAUAAAAAGAUCUUUUAUAUGUAAAGUUUCAACUAUUAGAUCAAAGUCAAAUGGGUAAAGAUCUCAUAAUUUUAUUUUCUAUAUGUAUCCUUCAUAAUUCUUUUAACUUAUUGUUCAUGAGCAAGCUCAUGUUUGGCUUGUUAAUAGACGAGUCGAACACGAGCUGAAUUUUUCGACUCGAUACUUUAACGAGCCAGCUCGUAUUCGGCUCGUUUAUGAAACGAGUCGAACACGAGCGGGCCUCAGCUCGCUCGUGUUCCGCUCGUUGGCACCCCUCGUCACGCCUAUUGGACUUGUGAUUUACACAAUAUGUUAUAGAUUAAUACUCACAUACAACCAAACUAGAAUUCCAAUCCUUACUCAAAUUUUAUGUUAUCAUCUCUCUCUAUUAACAUAUAAACUCUUAACCUGGCUAUAGUAUUUUGGGCGGUGGCUAGACCCAAAAGGUUAAGAAAGUUAAGCGUGCUAGAGCUGGAGUCAAGAUAUAAAGUGUCGCGGCAUGAGAGCGUGCCGCUGUCUGCCUAGCACGAUACGGCAUCGGCACGCUUCCGUGCCGACACAUGGUACGCUUGCGUGCCGAUGGAUACGCAUAACCCCCUACUGGCAUACUUUAGUACGGACUUAUUUCAGUUUUUUUGAUUCCAAUAAGCUCUUAUAAUAUUAUUUUGAAAGAUUUAAUCAAAUAAUUAUGAAUAUUUGCUAUGUAUAGCUUACUAUACUCAUCAAUUAAUAUACUUGUAAGCUUUUUUAGAUGUAAAGUACAACUAUACCUGAUGUAGAAUAGAAAUUUUUAUAGGUUAAAAUUUUUAAAAUGCAAAGACAUCUUUUUUUUUCUUUUUUCUUUUGACCAUAUUACAGUCUUUUUUUAUCAAAUAGAAAAAAUAAUUUUUAAACUUAUUUAAAAAUUAUUUGAAAAAAUUAUUUUUAAUUAAUUGUUUCAAAAAAUUAGUAGAUCUAUCAAAAAAAUUAAGUCAUCAAUUAUAUGACAAAUAAAUUAAAUAAAUUUAAGUAUCAAAUAUCAAUUGAUUUAAUUUAACUUUUAAUUUUAUCACUAUUUUCAAUUUCUAAUGCAAAAAUAAAAUUUUAUGUUUGAUGUGGCUCAAAAUUUGUUUAUUGAGUUCGAUUUUGUUCCCAUAAUGUGGCGAAAGUUUCGCGGUGCGACAAAUUUUGAUAAAAUAAUUUAUGAAAAAAAAAUAGAUAUCUGUGGUGGAAGUGGAGGGCUCAAGCCCUCAACCCACCAUUGACAUCCGAGAGGGGUGCAGUUGGUGAUACCCCCCGCGGUAUGGAUCGGAUAUGUAAAUUAAAAAUUUGUCCUAUAUUGAUAAACAAAAAAAAUUAAAUUAUAACUUUUUGACUUGCCUAACAAAUAGAUUUUCGAUUUGCAAUGUCUUUGGGGUAGGGGGAUGUGGGGUAUCCAGAAUGCUUCAAGUACCUAAAAAAAAAAUAAAUAAAAAAAAUAAAAAAUAAAGUGCAUAGUGUCAGCACGGCAGUGUGCUGCGGCACGCGUCGCCGUGCCGCUCUGUCUCGUGCGGCACGGCCCUGCGUGUCGCGACACGAAGAGGGGGUCCUCAGACCCCCCUAAGGGGCACGGUAUACGGCACGGGACGACACUUCAAUCCUUGGCUGGAGUAGUCCUAAGAUUGGUGAUCCCCUGGGAAGUGGGGCAUCACAGUUGGUAUCAGAGCCAAUUACCAGCCGGAAAUAUGAGAUGAGUCUCGGCUUAGCCAGAUUAUACAGCAGGGAGAGCGAGGCUCUCAUACUGAUGACUGUUGUGGGUAGAGCGGGGCUCCCCCACAAUGUCGGUUAAGGCUAGCGAGAUGAGUCUCAUAUCAUCUCAUACUUGUGAGUCUGAGCCCGACGAGAACGCUAGGGCUUAAAGGGGGAAGAAUGUGAGACCCCAGGUAAUUCUAUAUAUAAGAUAUAAUAUGGCUAAAACUCUUAACCCGACUAUAGCAUUUUGGGCAGUGGCUAGGCCCAAGAGGUUAACAGAUUUAAACGUGCUAGGGCUGGAGUAGUCGUAGGAUGGGCGACCCCUGGGAAGUGGGAUAUAAACUAUAUACAUAUCCAUAUGCCUAUAAAUAGACAUAGAAGGAAAUUCGCCGUUUUCGGCGACUCAGAACCUACUUGAAUUGCUAAUCUCGGAAAAGAAAGGGUGACGGGAUGACAAUGCACUCCGCUGCUGCCUCCUCAACUGCAUGGCAGCCACAACGCCAAAAUCCCAUUGGCAAAUCCCACAACGAAAAUCCACGAAAAUCCAACCCCUAAAUCAUGCUUAAAUUAAAUUACUAAUCUCAAUUUCACUAAAAAUCCCAUCCAAUUUCUACUCAGAAGCAUCCCAAAAUUAUGCCUCGAAAAUCCGAAUCAACCAAAAAUAUUAUUAAGAUACUAACGUCCAAUCCGACGCACCGAAAAAAUCACAUGGACGCGCGUCCUUGACUGCCUUCUCGGAUCACCCACGGCCUCCACCUCUCUCUCUCACUUUUUCUCUCUCUCUAACACAUACGAAGAAGAAGAAGAAUGAAGUCCCUGUCACCCACUAAUAAUGCACAAAAUGCUAAAAGGUCCCCAAUAAUUCAAGUAUUCUAACUUUAGUUCAAUUCUAAUUUGUUAUAUCCAAUUGGAGCCCUUCUUUAUGUCUAUUUGCAUUCAAAUUUAACGUAUAGAUUCAAUUAAAAUUAAUCAGAAGUAAUUUAUCUUAACUUUUCAGUUUUCAAUCAUUUUAGGUCACUAUAGGGCAGAAAGAGAGUAAAAGAGAGAAUUAUGAGAGAGAGAGAGAGGGAGCACCAAACCUUGGGAGGUGAAGGCGACGGCGGGUGUGAAGUCACUAUUGGCAGAGAGAGAGAGAGAGAGAGAACUAUUAGAAAGAGAGAGGGAGCACCGAACCUUAGGAGGUAGGGGCAACGGCGGGUGCGAGAUGACUGAGAUAGAGAAAGCGACAGAGGGGGGAAAGAGAUUGAGCGGGAGGCGUAGGGUUAAACAAUGAAAGACAUCAGCGGUGAACAAUUCACCAUAUUUAAAAGUGGUCAACCAAAAGCGGUCAACCAUUCACUGCAUAUAAAAGUGGUGAACGGCUCACCGCUUUCUUGGCUUUUUAUGUAGCUGAAUUCUCUUGAAAGUGAAGCAGCAAAUCAUUUACCGCUUUUAUUAUUCUUUUCCCCCCUAAUCCUACCUGCCAUACUAGUGGCCUACAUUUUACAAUUAAUUUUUGUAAUUAUAAAAGUUGAUAGGAUUAUUUAUAGAAAAACUGUGAAGAAGCCAGUAAACUGAGCUGAGAACAACUGAUUAAACUGGUUCGGUCCAGUCUAGUUUUUUCACUCUAUUGUUUUGUUUUAGGCUUUUCAACUUACCAAACUGACUUAACCAGUUUGAUUUGUAUGUCUACUUUAAACCGACCGAUAUGCUCAUACCUAGUCCUAUGUGAUUGAAUCUGCUGGCUGAUGGCAGAUUGUGCAAACUAUACAUCUACCAUUUGGCGACAGAAUAACAAAAUUUAGGUCUCUUUUUGUUAAACUUCCGUCUAUUUUGUCUUUUAAACUCAAAAUUUUAUGCGAUGGUAUGCGCUGAUGGAUAAUGUAUCAACUUGUGUAUAUAUAACGUUUGUUUGGCAACAAAACUAAGGGCAAAAAAAAAAAUUCCAGUAGUAACAUUUUUUCGCUGCUUUAUUUAUUUUUUUGUUUUUUGUUGUUAUUGUUUUUUUUUUUUUUUCAAAGUAGAUGAGUUCGCAAGAUAACCAACAAUAAUGAUAAUGAAAUAAUUCAUCCACCAGCACACUCUGAUGUAUAUAAGUUGAGUUUUAAAAAUCAAAGAAAAUGGAACGGUAAUCAAGUGGGGCUUGAAUUCCAACACUUUUCAUAUUUUGCUCUUUUUCAAAAAUGAGUUUGCUGUGUAAACGGCCAUAACAAGGAUAGAAAAGUCCAUUAUUUUGCCAGUAUAAUAUAGCAAACAAAGGUCAAGGAAAUGGGUUGAUUUUCCAUCUUUUCUCACCCAAGUUUUGUCCUGCUCAAUCAAUGAAAUGAUAGCAACCAAACAAACUGGUAAUAUUUGUGAAGAUACAUUUAUCAACAUUGUGCUUCCAAAAGCAUCAUGUGCCGAAGCUUGAGAAAUAUCAUGUUAAUUCUCCAGUUGUUUCCAAGAGAUCUACAUGGUUCUUUCAAUAUGAUAGAUGUAUUGAGCCUUGGAAACAAAUAGUACACGUUUAGGUUGUAGAUUUACAAGUAGGUCUUUUAUUUUGAAUGUUGAAGUACUGGUAGGUUCAGGCUUAAGAUGGGCUCUGUGACAAGCCAAAUGAAGAUUGACUCUGUUUCUUUUCCACUCAUGAAACCAGUCUUGAGGGAAGCUGUCCUUUGUCUCCUAUGAAUUAUUUUUUUCAUGAAUUCUUUAAGCUCUCAUUUGAAGACUACUAAUCACUGUAUAUAAUGUUCUACUGCGUUAUGUAAAGACUCCUCAAUUUUCAGUAUAAAUGUGAAACUUGAGUUUCCAAACUUAAACUGAUAAACCACAAGACUAUGUAAGUUGUUUCACUAACUAAGCUUCGAAACCCUCCUAUUUCUAGUCUAAGCUUUCCUAUGGUUCUAGAUUUCCUUUAGCCUUGAACAUUCCAUUUGGUCUCUAGUAUUUGACUUUUUGAACACUCCCAAGGAUUUAAGUGCCGUGGUACGGGGUCGUGCCGGAAACUUGCCGACACUGUACGGCACAGUACGUGCCGAUGAGUGCCGGUCACAAAAAAUAUAUGUGUGCCGACACAUAAUGGCAUGAAAUAUUUAUUUUCUUUAGUAACAAAAUAUGCCAAUUAUUUAUUAUGUGUUUUUAUCAAAUCUUUUGAAUUUUAUUGAGAAAAUUACUUACUAAUUUAAAGAAUAGAGGGUUUUGAGUUGUACUAUUGGCACGCGGGCUAUAUCGUACCGAUAUCCUGUUGGAACGAUACGGCACGGUGGAUACGGCCCGUACCGAUGGACACUUUAAUCCUUGUUUACCAUAAAAUAAAUUAACGUAGAUUUUCUUGGAAUCUUGGACCAAGAAGCCCCUUCUUGAAAUAGGAGCUACAUUGACUUUGUAGAUAAGGACCUCGAAAUACACUUCAACCUUGGAAUACACUUUAAUUAUUGAUUUAUUUCAUAUUAUAGUUAUUUUCAGAGUUUCUAUCACUGCAAGUCCUAUACCCUAAGAAUGUUGCCCAAAUGAUCUUGCAUUUCUCUCAAUGGUGGUUCCCAGUAUUGUGCACAUCUGGAAUGAAAAGCAAGCUUUCAUAUGGUCAGUUUUGACUCUAGAUUGGAUAAUUUAUGUUCUUGCCGCUAACAUAAUCAGAUGGUCAUCAUAUUAUCAAGUACAUGUUUUACACAACCAUGAGCAGCUUGCAUUAACCAUAUGUAUCUUGGGGUUGGAUUCUCAUUGCUCCCUCCCUCUCCCCCUUUCACCCUUCAGUUGUACACAAAACAAAAGAAAAUUUAAAUACUUUAGUCCCAACUUUUUGCGUUAUAUAAUAUUCCUGUAUUUUAUAUUCAAUUUGCAUUUUGUUUAUUUACUUUCAUCUCUGAUGACAGAGGGAAGCUCGAUUGGAACGCAACAGGAAAAGAUCAUUUUUCCAGUGAGAAUGCAAGUAGUCUCUAUCAUGCACUUGGGUUUUCAGAUCAUCUUCCACAGUUCUGGAAAAAGAAAAAACAAAAAUAAAAAGAAUUAAAAACUGAUGAAUUACAUGAUGCAACUCAGCUUCCAAAGAAACUUUAGCUUGGUUCGUGGAGUAGUUUCAUUUGCAGCUAUCUGUGACUAUGGGGUGGGGGGAAACAAUUUCUGCCAAUAAAAUUCAGUUUAGAGGUGCAGUUUGCUCUGAGAUGGAGUGCUUGUGGUGCCCCAACAAAACUGACACCUGUGUGACGCCCUAAUGGCUUAAUUCUUGAAAUUUUUUGAGUUUUUUUCUGAGAAUUUUGAGUGAAAUUUAACAUAGUUGAAAGCUGGUGUGGGAGUUUGCUUGUACAGAUGCUCAAUAUGUUAUUGAAAUACUUUGUCGACAUCUCUCUCUCUCUCUCUCUAUGCUCAAUAUGUUAUUGAAAUACUUUGUCGACAUCUCUCUCUCUCUCUCUCUCUCUCACACACACACACGCACGCGUGGUAUUUGCAGAUUGGUGAUUGUUGCGCUGGAUGAACUAUAUAAUUAGCAAAAUACUUUUAUAGGUUAUUUCAUUAAAAAUAGUUGAUUUAUGCAAACUACUUAGAAUUUUUCAGUUGUAACGAUCCAUCUCACUAGCAAUGAUAAAUUGUACCCACUAGCAAUAAUAUGAUAAAUUGUACCCACUCGCAAUAAUAAAUCAUGAGUUCACAUUACUCCAAAAUGCUUAAUUUUUUUAGUUAUAACUAAUGUGCCCCCCACAUAUAAGCCCCUAUAUUAUUCGAUGGGGAACUAUCGGAGUGCUACAUACGCUUUCCAUUACUCUUCCACAUUAUGCGAGCGCUACAUACGCUUUCCAUUACUCUUCCACAUUAUGCGAGUGGGGGACCAUCAUGGUGCUAAAUACUCUUUCCAUUUUAGAUCGUGACGGCAUCAUUAGUUUAAUCACAUACAUCGCCUUACAUCACUAGGCAAGCAAUGUGAGACGUCCUAUUGGUUUAAUCCCACACAUAGCCUUUUAUCACUAGAUAAGCGAAGUGAGUUCUAUCUCUGUAAUGAUCAAAUUCACUAACACUAAUAAUUUGUUGGAUUGAGAUUAUCUGUCCGAAAUAUUUAAGCCUAGUUAUUAUCUCUAGUGUGUUCGUCACAUAUAAACUCCUUACACUCUCCUGUAUUAUCCAAUGUGGACUAUCAGAAUAUCACAUUCUCUCUCUAUUUUAGGCGCUGAUAUCCUCAUAUAUAUAUAUAUAUAUUUUUCAUUUUAGGCCCUAAUAUUCUCGUCAACGCUACUCCAAUCACGCUUAGGCCUUGAUGUGCCCAUCACCCCAACCCCAAUCACUAGGUGAUGUGAAGCCUAUCUCACACUUUCAACUGGUGAAUUGGUUCUUCUACCAACUGUAAUAUCUAGCUCACUGCAAUAUUAACUUAUUGGGUCCAAACCAGCAUUCCAAAAUAUUUUAGUCUAGUUAUUAUUAUUAGCAUGCUCGUUAUAUAUAAUUUCAUCACACUCUCUCACAUUAUCCGAUGGUAGACUAUUAGGAGGUCACACUAGUGGUACACAUGAGAAUGAAAUGUGUGACUUCUCAGAUUUAAGCAUUGGGGGGGAAAGCGUGAGGUCUUGCAUUCCAGUUGUGGAGUGAUAACUUGAGGGUUUGGAUACAAGGAUCAAGCUCCUGAUUCUUGGAAGAAAAAAGAAAGGAAAAAAAACUGAUUUAUCAAGCUUUGAAUCAAACACUUGAGAUGGAAAGUAUUUUCAAUUCGUUUCACAGAAAUUUGGCUCUUGCCUUUUCCAUUUGUUUCUACCCACAUAUCUACCCCUUGAUAUCACCUUGAAAUUUUGCUCUUCUAUGUACCUAUUCCAUGUUCUACAGAACCGAAAGGUGAAGCAACAAGAUAUUUCCACUAUUUCCGAAACCCACCAAUUAUACUGGUUUCUUUGUUUGAUAUCAUAUAUAAUGUACAAGAUGUUUUCUAUAAAUGGGUAUUCGUUGGCACAAAUUUUUGGUGCCCGAGACUGGUAUGUGUGAACGAUCAUGAUCAAUGCGAAGAUUGUCAAAUUCUGUGAGUUUUCUCAAAAACUAAACUCGGUAAAUAAAUUUUCAGCUCUAAAUAAAUUAUUGUGUUUAACUUAAAACUGUUAGGAUUUUCCAUAUUUUGUGGCCCAAUUAAUCAUAUUUAAUUAGGAUUUGCUAUAGAUAAAGGUCAAUCCUAAUAGAUAUAGAACUGCUUGAUAUGGUAUAUUUUAUCCCUAUCCCAUCUAUUUUAAAUUUAAAUAGAAUCCUAAUCAGACUUUGAUGGGAAGUCGAUCUGGACUCUAUAUAAAGGGGUAUUGGUCCUGCCACCUUCUCAUACGCAUUCUGGUGAAGAAUUACCAUCGGUUCCACACCAUACGGCAGAGUGCCUGAGAUAGGGGGAGAAACCAAAUCACCCAAGUUCGGUUCGUGACUUUCAGAUCGUAGCCGGACUUCCAGCUUCCGCAAGAUUAAUCAAGAAUCUCUUCUUUAUGGCGCUCUGUGAGUUAUCGUAUUUUUAUUUUUGAUCCUGGAUUUGGUAUGUAUUUAUUUUUAUUUAUUUUACAUACCUUGAGUUUCCAUCAAAAACUUCUAGCUGACCCUUCUUAUCUAGCAUGAUGCUCAUGUGAGACCCCAAGAUUUGUAAUAGUCCUAUAUAUAAAACAUAAUCGGGCUAAAUCUUUCAACCGAGCUAUAACAUUUUGAGCGGUGGCUAGGUCCAAGAAGUUAAGAGAGUUAAAUGUGUUAGGGCUAGAGUAAUUCUAGGAUGCAUGACCCUCGAUCGGAAGAGGGGCGUCGCAGUUGGUAUCAGAGAUAAUUACAAGCCGAAAGUGUCAGAUGAGUACCGACUGAGCUAGAAUUAUAUAGUAGACAGAACGAGACUCUCUAGCUGAUGACUGUUGUGGUGGAGUGUGGCUCCCUAUAAGGUUGGCCAAGGCUGAUGAGACAAAUCUCACAUCGCCUGGUACUUGCGAGUGUGUUUGAGCCUGAUGAGGCCGUCAGGCUUGGGGGGAGAAAGAAUGUAAGACCUCAAGAUUUGGAAUAAUCCUAUAUAUAAGAUAUAAUAGAGCUAAAUCUCUCAAACAAUGGCUAAGCCCAAGAGGUUAAGAGAAUUAAGUGUGUUAGGGCUAUAGUAGUCUUAGGAUGGAUGACCCCCUGGCAAUAUUAUAAGGCUAAUUUUUGAAAAAUAAAUUAAAGGGUAGCUAAAUGCAUAAAAAAAAGUGCAAUUGUAGAGGGUAAAAUUCAAAUCUCUAAUGAAAUGAGAGAAUUACAACAAAAAUGACAAUUCGACUAUCGUUAAUGGAAUCCACCUAAAAAGAAAAGUCGGCGACAACUGCAACUAGACUUCAAUAAGGAGUCGGUUGAGAAGAGAGUACUUUUUGACCACAUUCAGACCUAUCGCAUUGCUUAAGAGGUGUUGUAAUGCCGUCUACAAAAUAAUUUCUGUUGCAUUCCAUGAACCACUACCAUCGAUGUAAGGUACCGGACUUCUAAAAUAAUAAAGUUACGGUUUAUAUUGAUUUGGAGAGCUAUUGGAAUGGUUCCGGUCAAGUUUGGAAGCAUUCGGGCGUUUUCGGAGCCCGUAGGCGCGAAAACGGAACUCGAAAGGCUAUAUUGGACCAUGGACUAAAUCCGGCUAAGCGUGGAUGAAAAGAUGAUGAUAAUAUGCUCGAAAACAUGUUUGAAGAGUCUCGGUUCGAUUUGAAAAGAAUCGGAGGCCAAACGAGCGAAAACGAGCGAAAACGGAGCGAAAACGAAAAAGGCUGAAGUUUCGCUAAGUCUGGAAAUUAUACCUACGGGGACGGGUCCCUCGGCCACGGACAGGUCCCUCAGGGACCGGUCCCUUAUCCAAGGACCGAUCCCCGUAGCCCGAAAGUGCCCUGCGAGGGCUGUGCACUAAGUGCAUUGUUGAGGGGAUAUUUGGUUAUUUUGCCAUAAGUUGAGGGCAUAUGAGAGGGAGGAGCCUGUUCCCUCUCAUUUUUCUCAUUUCUCAACCCCGAACCCCUCUCUCUCUCUCUCUAGAAUAGCACUCUCUCUCUCUUCAAGGAGGAAGACAAGGGGAGGGAUUGGAGGAGAAGGAAGCUUGGAGAAGAAGAAGCUUCACCUUCAUCUUCUUCUUCUCAAGUUUGGAGCAAGCUUUGGAGGUAAGCUUGAUGUCCAUUCAUGGUGAUUUCUUAGGGUUUGAUUUAUAUGCUCUAAGAAUGGUUUAGAUGGAAUCCUAGCAUGCUAAAUAGAUGGAAAAUACUUGAUUCAUGAAUUAAUUUGAAGUAUUUUGCUAUAAUUGCAUCUAGGGCUCCAAUUUUGGGGUUUUUGGAAAUAUAAGGGUUUAAUCUAAAUUGACCAUUCUCUAACCUAAUUGUUAGGUCCCCGAACGCGUUCGUGCACUCAGUUUGAGCAUUCGUCGGGGCUACGAAGAGAUAUUGGCGAAAAAUCCAUUUUUAGCUUCGUUUCCGCCUGGAGGGCCGAGGCGACGACUGAAAAUCAUGGAAACGGAUUUGGAGCACCGUGGCGGCAAACCGUAGAGCUAUAAUUUCCGGGGCUGCGAAGCGGCACACGGUUGGUGCGCAAUUGCGAGUUCGGGCCGAGCCGGAUACGGGUGCCGCGGGAGGCCGAUUGCAAGUGAUUACAAGCAAUCGGAGAGCGAAUCGAGAUGGGUUGUGCUCGCCGAAGCGACUAGGUCGCCCUUUUGUCUAAGAAAGAUGUGAAUUCAUGUUGCUGCAUGUAAAUGCUAGAUGAUGCAUGUAGUUAAUACUAUAUGAAUGCAUGUUAAUGGCAUAAUAUAGAAUGCAUGAUGAGCAUGAUAUGUAAAUGCUAGAUAAUUGCAUAAUGACAUACGCUAGUGGAUAGAUGCAUGUUAAUAUCUAUAUGCGUGGUGGAAUACAUGCUAGGUAAAUGCAUAAUUACAUGAUGCUAGGAGAGGCAUAAUAAACAUAAUGGCUAUUAAAUAAUGCAUGUUGGCAUUGAGAUGAAUGCAUGGUAAUAUAUACAUGAUUAGCAUGGUGAGGAUAUGCUAGAUUAUAUAUGCAUGUGAAUUAUAGAAUGCUCGAUUGGACAACUAGGAUGUCGAAUAGAUCGAGUGACAUUUAACCUAGUGUUAAAGAACAUAGGUUGUGAAUGAACCUAGAGUCAAAUGGAUCUAGGUGUGUGGCAUCGAACCUAGUGUUAGUAAACAUAGGUUGUAUUGAACCUAGUGUCGUGAACAUAGGUUGACAUAUGAACCUAGUGUUGUUAAACAUAGGUUGACACUGAACCUAGUGUUAAAGAACAUAGGUUGUGGAUUGAACCUAGAGUUAAAGUAAACCUAGGUUAUGUGAUAGAGGCGUUGAACCUAGAGUCGGUUGGACCUAGGGUGGAAAGGACAUCGGACCUAGAUAGGUCGAUACUAUAGGGUUUGAGACCAACCCUUGAGUUCUGAAAUGGAUUCCGGAAUCCCUAGGAAAUGAAGGCUGCUAGUGCAGCGAAUGAGAUUUACGACUGAGCGCAAGUGAAUCCUAACUGCGGGUAUGUUAGUUUUCCUCGCCCGGCAGUGAUUCAACGGGUAUGUUGGUUCUCCUCGCCUGGUAAGUGUAUUGGCAUAAAUAGAAUCCUAUCUGCAACUAUGUUGGUUCUCCUCGCCCGGCAAUGAUUCAACGGGUAUGUUGUUUCUCCUCGCCCGGUAUGCCAUGAACUUGAGCUUGAAAUGGGUAUGUUGGUUCUCCUCGCCCAUUUAGCUUAUUCGAUGAUGCCGCCUAGACUGACUUAAACUAUUCUGGGUAAGGGCGAUGCGUGCGCCGCCAGAAGGCUGAGUCGUGACCUGAACCAUUGAUGCGAUUAGUUCGCCGCCAGAUGGCUAAGUCAUGACUUGAGUCCGUUCUGGGUAAGGGCGAUGCAUUCGCCGCCAGAUGGCUAAGUCAAGAGGUGCGUUGGGCUGUGACGACAGCCAGGUUGAGGUGCAGCCAGUGCGCGGUAGUCCGCGAUGAUUGACUCGAGGCCGAGUCAGGUGGAUAGUGAAAACCUUAAAGGCUAAUGAUAUAUGAUAUGAACUAAGGCAGUAGAGACCUUAGACACUAGUUGAGGCUGAGCUGUGGAACUAAGGUAAAUAGAACCUUAGAGCUAGAUGGCAUGAGCUAUGAUUAGCAAAAUUGAAAGUAGUAUCGAUGGAUCUACUAGUGAACUGCUUAGUUGCAUAGUUGCCUGAUUUCAUAUUGCAUAUUAUGAGGCGUGACAUAUAUUUCAAUUUGAAUAUAUAUCUGUUGUAUAUUGUUGAACUAACAUAUUGCAGUGCCUCCUUGGACCUAUCGGUCGAGCUUUUCCCUUGGGUGGUCGUACCUACUGGGAACCAUGGAGUUGGUUCUCACCCCACGUUGUUUUGGGGUAUUACAGGUUCGUACAUGAGGGGGCGGCAACGCGAGGCUAGGGCGUAGCUCCAUAGAUAGCGCCCUACCCCAGAGACCAGAGAUAGGGGUACCCCGAGUCGGCAUAGCCUAUGGGUAGAUGGAAAUGAAAAGAACAAGAUGUACUAAAACUUGUAUAUAAGUGAUGUAAUAACUUGAUUGCAUUUGGAUGAAAUGAGUGGUAAUUGAGAUGUGAAAUGCAUGAAAUGGGAAUGCUUGUAAUAACAUAGGAUGUGUUAUGUUGUUGAUACCUUCCAUUUGCAAUCUAUGAUUGAAUACUGUUCCUGGUUGGAACCACUUGUAUUGUUUUGAUUGCGACACCUAGGACGUACAGGAAAAACUCUGUCCGUUCGGCGGUCUGUUGGCGUGCUCGAACCCGACCAAAUAGACGGGGCGCGGGGCGUGACAGAUAAAGUGGUAUCAGAGCAUAAAGUAGAGAAUGGGAAUGAUUUAGAUGGACCUAGGAGACCCUAGGAUAGUAAACCAUAGGAGAAUAAGGCUCAUGAGAGACGAGGACUUGCGACUAUUGGCGAAAGGUUCAUUGAUUAGGUGGUGUUGUAAACCUCUAAAACGGAUAUUAGAGGUAGACUUAAGGCGUGGUUUAUUCUUAACCGAGGGUGUUCAUGUUGGAUGCACACAACAUGAAGUCGAGUGAUGAGAAUAGACGCCCUUGCAUGACUUUCACCCGAUUUGAGUCGAUGUUAAAUUAUUUCGUGCUCGACCUAGAAGGUUGAGAAUUAAUCGAGUUGCCCUGUUUCAGGAAACGAUGGCACCGCGUAGGCGAUCUUCAUCCAAAUCGGCGUUGGAGGGGACAGGUGAUGUCCCUAAGCAAUCUGAGGCAAGUGGAGACCCGGUGCUCCGCCAGCAGAUGAGUAUGCUCAUGAUCGUAGUGCUGCGACAGGAGGAGUAGAUCAAGGAGCUCCAUGAGUUGUUGGCAUGGCAGGCUGCGGCGGCUGCACCGAUAGCAGCGCACCGUGUACCGACAGGAGUCGCGAUAGAUUCGGGGGCAGUGGCCCCUGAUUAUGUGGAAAUGGAGGCGGAGAAAGAGCGGGCUUUGGCGGCCCUUAUGACCUUCAAGAGGUUUGAUCCGCCUGUCUUUGAUGGAGAGAAUGUCGAUCUGUGGAUUGUGGAGAUGUGGAUUGACUCUAUGAAAACACUCUUUGAGAAGCUGUACACCCUGGAGCGAGACAAGGUGCCCCUGGCCGUACACUGUUUGAAAUUGUUGGCAAAGGUGUGGUCGAAAGGCAUUCGACGAGAUCGAUCGCCUAGUCUCCCUCCUAUGGCAUGGGAUGAGUUUCGAGGAUUGGUGUUUUCGACUUACUUUCCCAACACUGAAAAAAGAAAGCUUCAAGACAAGUUCAGGAAGCUGCGGCAAGGAGACUGCUCUGUGAGAGAAUACGAAUGGGAAUUCUCUCCUAUCGUGAAUUGUGUCCCGGAGGUACGGGAUGACAAGGAUGGGGCCGAUUGGUUCCUGCGUGGACUUCGACCGGAGAUUUACAAAGAGCUGCAAAUCUUCAAGCUCACAACCUUCGCGUAGGUGUUGGAUCGAGCAUUGUUGGCAGGACACGGCGAAGAUUUCGUGCGUGAGAAGCACGAGUCUUUUGAGCACGAGCAAAGAGGGGUGAGGCCACUGUCGAGCGGUUCCGGUGGACAAUCAAGUUCUAGGCGCCACUCGAAGUCGUCCCCUACUCGAUCCUCCCCGGGAUGCGUGAUCUGCGGUGGUUCCCAUUGGGCACGACGUUGCAUGCAGCGGGAAGGUAGAUGCACCCGAUGUGGACGACCGGGUUACCCAAACUACGAGUGUCCGCAAAGCGAUAGUCGGGCCUUAAUGUUGGCGACGGCCUUUUCCUCUCCAACACAGUUUGCAUGUGUGCCACCUGCGGCAUGGUCGGAAGAGUGGCCAUUGAGGAUGAUGCCACCGAGGGGUUCGCGGCGGGCAGCAAGUGGCCGUGGAUACGUGACCCAGGUGGAGGAGCCUGCUACUACCGACGAUGUAUGGCAGGUAUGAAUUAAUUAAGCAAACAGGUGCUGCUACCUAAUAUUAAGUUGUUGCAUAGCAUGCAUUUUGAUGAGUGGUCAGUUGCUACUAUUUAUACAUUGCAUAAUAGGGACCCAUUAGACGGGUAGGUAGAUACCCGGGCAUGCUUGCAGUGAGAAUGUUGUAAGAUAUGGAUCCCGAGGAUCUAAAAGGUAAAAAACACCUAGAGAGGGGGUGAAUAGGUGUAAACGGUAAAAAUCAAUAAACUCGAUGCAAAUUAAAAGUAAAUGCGGAAAAUAAAAUCAGCACACCGAGAAUUAACGUGGGAAAACUCCAAACCGGAGAGAAAAACCCACGGGACCAAUCACACAAAGAAAUCCACUAAGAAAACAUGAGUACAAGUGAUUUACCAAAAAUACAUGACUCAAUAUAUCGAAUCCUCGUUGUAGAUUGUCUUUGCCAGUCCUCGAUCGCUUGGAAUCCUCCAAUCGACCACACCGCAAGUCCUUGCAGCCAAACACGCCUCGAUUCCAUGAAACGCCCACUGAAUCCACGGUCUCGACGCGAGAUCCACGCGCUAACGUUCCAUCCGAAGCUCGUAGGGAUUUAACAAUUUGUGGUGAUUUAAGAUCUUAGAAAGAACAUAUAAUAUGAGGAGAAACCCUAAUUAAAACAUCACCAAUUUGAUCCUUAAGAAAGUUUUGAAUCAAAAUCAAAGAAUCAAAUCGGUGAUCUAAAAACUUGAUGUUUAAAACAUAGAUCAAAACUCCGAAUCAAGCCGUUAGGGUUUCUAAAAGGUUAUCUCUCUCAACUCAUGUAACAUAUGGAAACUUGGAGUUGCGAUGUCAACUUUGCCCUAAGGGAUCAAAGUGAGGAUUGAACUAGUUGGACAUCAUCCUCGAGUGAAUUGUGAUUUCUGGAGAUAAAUAAGUGUUUCGGCGCAAAUUGGGCGCGAAACGAAAUAUAAAGAGAAUUUCGGAUUUCCGACGCUAACUUUGAUUAAAAGAAUUAAAGUAAGGCGGAAGGAUACAUUGUGGUAUCUCCGAAUCAAUUGUGAAGGUUUGGAAAAGCCAAGGGUGUGUUUUCAAAGGGUUUUGACGAGCUCAGUGCGAAGUGGUAGUGCAAAAAGGAGAAAUCGCUACCAUGUAAUGAAAUUGGAGCCGAUUCUAUUGCUAAUUCGGCUCAAAUAAUGUCAAAAUGAAAAGGAAUUGCUUCCAAAUUACAUGGGUAGCUUGUGAAGGUCCCUUGGUAUAUUUUGGAAGUGUUUGGAUGAAAUCGGAGUGAAAACGGAAAAUUUAGAAUUUUCUGUAAAGAACGGGAUUGAGAAAAUUAGCAGAAAAUGCACAGUGUCAGAAAAUUAUGAAAAUUGGCAAAGAUGUCAGGAACAGUUUUAUGAGGCUAGAUUUGAAGUUUCAGAUUUUUCUGACACCUGUAUAGAGAGAAAUAGCAUUUGGAAGUUAUCGAAUAAUGAUUACAGUUCGGGACAGUUCGCAGUGACCAAACGGGGUCGAAAUUGAAAUGUUAAAAUUGCAGUGGACUUGUUAAGUAAGAGUGAACAUUCCUGUCAAAUUUGAGCUCAAUCGGACUGUCGGAAGAGCCUACGAAAGGUAUUUGAUCCGAGUUUCGCAACGGACUUAAGUCGAGGGGCAUUAUGGUCAUUUAUCACUAAGUUAGUGGAUUUCCACUAAUCUGGCAGCAGGGAGGCCUUCAUUCUUAUCCCCUCUGCUUCACUCUGGUUCCAUACGUAGAAAGAGAGAGAAGGAGAAAAGAGAGAGAAGAAGAAAAGAAGAGAAAAGAGAAGCAGGAGAAGAAAAGGAAGAAGAAAAAGGUAAGAAAUUUAAUCUCUCUCCCUCUCUCCUUGCUAUCUUUUUCCCCCUCACUCUUCUUCCCUGUCAACAGCAGCAGCAGCUCAGCUAGCUGCUGAGCAGGCAGUCAGCAGCAGCAGUUACAAUAGCAGUAGUAGCAGCAGCAGCACGCGCAGUAGCAGGAGCAGCAGCAGCUUAGCAGUAGUAGCAGCAGCAGCCUGCAGUCAGCAGUAGCAGCAGCAAGCAAUCAGCAGCAGCAGCAAGCACUCAGUAGCAGCUUGGCAGUCAGCAGUGGUAGCUGCUGUCAGCAGCAGCUUGCACAGCAGCCCUGCGCAUCAGCAGGAGCAGCAGCAGCAGCUGCUGCUUCAGCAGCAGUCAGCAGCAGCUGCUUCAGCAGCUUGCGCAGGGAGUAGCAGCAGCAGCUUCAGCAGCAGGCAGUGAGCAGCAGCAGCAGGAGCUUCAGCAGCAGCAGUAGCUUCAGCUGCAGUGUCACGCCCGGGUACCAGCGGAAGCAUAUCCGGUACGUGCACAGAUCCGCCAUACACCUGCAGUUUAUAAGGCGUCUACAAAGAAAGCAAGACGAUAGGAAGUAAACAAAGAGAGUCCUAUCCUGAUAUCAGAGCAAUGUACAAGUCGAUAUACUAUCAGUAAAAGAACAAAGGAAAAUACAAUCCAAAAUCUCGACAGAAGAGAAGUAUCACAACUGCAGUUCAUGGUCCAAGUAGUACAUAUACAUCACGAGUAUACAAAAAUAGGAUAGGUACAAUGGUGGUUUCUCUAUACAAAGGGACAUCACCCUCGGUCGUAGCCCGAGUAGCAAGGUGAUCGACUAGCAUGCUCCUAGCAAUGUCUAGCUAGACGCGACUCCCUUGCCACGAUCCCUAGCCUCUCCUGCAGAUGGCUCUGUAAAAUACAACCACCAAAAGGGCGUGAGAACUAUUAACAAUAGUUCCCAGUGGGUAAGCCGCCAGCCUCGGCGAAUUACACCACUAGGCUCAUGAUGUACUGAAAGUAAGUAAAAGCAAUAAGUGCAUGAUAUAGAAAUAUGCAGUUCUAACCGGUAACAGGCAUGUAUUCAACAUGUAAACAUGAUUUCUGCAGUAAUGAAUCAACUGAAUAAUAGAAGUAUCGAAACUACUAUAAACAUGAACAUAAACAUAAUCGUAGACGUGUAAGUACUACUGUACACUACAAUUGAUACUUAUUCAUUACUAUCAUUAUCAUUUCCACUUUCAUUUUCAUUCACUAGGACCUACUCAAGGUAGUCCAGCUUGCGCCGCGCUGUAGAGAAUACUCCUAAUACUGAACCUUAUACACGAAACCUUGUAUCAACGGUACAAAACUGUAUCUUUUGUUCUCACAGUAUUUCCCCGUGAGCUUUGAUCACUUGAUACCUUGACGUUGUAUCUCUAUAUAACUAUCCGGAAACAUGUAGACGAUAUAUAUAAGGUACAAUCUCUGUACAACUGUAUCUCUAUCCGGAAACCCUGUGAGCUAUGUAAGGUACAAUAAUCUGUACUCCUGAACCAUGAACGCUGUCUAGCAAACUGAUGAACGGUAACACGAGUAAGCGUGUACGAACACUCCCAGCGAGGGAUGUUCGGCCGUGAGGCCUCUAUCGGUAGCGCUAUGUAUAAGCGGCACGCCCUAACCCGCGGCUUCACCUAACGGCACCCUGUCCGAGUAGGGAUCCCACCCCUACUACUGAUGGUGCCCCGGUAAUCCGAGCCGUGGCCGGUCUGUCGGGUGCCCACCCAGAGUCCCGGUAUCUGUCGGAAGCCCACCCAGAGAAGUCUAACCCGAUAUAUAUAUAUAGGUAAUACUGUACACCUGUCUACUGCUGAAUCACAUGAUGAACCUGUAACUAAUCUUAUCAUUUGUUGCCUUGAAGUGAUAAAGUGUAACACUUGUAGUACUAUCAACCUCUGUAAAUGAAAUACGUAUCAACGAAAGUAUGAAUACGAUAAGUACGAUUCAUCUCUAUAGUACAGCAUCAUCCAAUGUAUAAAUGAAUGGACAGCGGAAAGAUGAAAAUAACAGUGACUGUAGAAAACAUCGAAACCCGGAACACCACGUACGUGACUUCAGUCAUUAACGGGUGACCCUUGAUAAAAAUUAUCAAGAGUACGGGAGCAAAAUACCAAAGGAAAAGUCUCGGAAGCCGUGGCCGCCUCCGUGCCCUAGCGCCGUUCCCCUAGCGCAUCGAUCGAUCGCUCCUCGAAUGAACGGAUCCACCAAAUGAGAAAGAAAACAUCAACUCUCUCACUCUCAAAACAUGGGACAUAUCUCUGGUGGAUACAUAGAUGAGAAUCGUGAACAUAAACCCUAAAGGAGAACGUAAAUGAAAUACGGAAUAAAUCACCUAAAUGUCGAAAAGGAGUAGGAAACAACAUCGUAAAUCUGUAAAUAAUACGAGACUAUGAGGAUCUACAGAAAAUAAUAACGAAAAUAAUAACAACAAAAAUCUGCGGAAUAUACAACUUCUGUAUACCGCCCAGAUCCGUGCGCGGCCCGCCCGAAGGCGACCCAGGGCCCCGCACUGUUUUCGCGGGAUAUCCUACCGUGGGCGACUUAACUUUCUCGACUUCCGUGUCAAUGUUCUAGAAAAUCUAUUUCCUAAACAAGCUGGCUCACAAAGCGGGACCCCUCGUGGCCACAAUAAACAGUUCUUUUUCCUACCUAGAGAAGCUAACACGCACCUAAUAGCUCUUUAGUUAUUUCAGUGUUAGUUCUUAUUUAUAGGUAACGGAUCUUAACUACUGAAUAAGCUAGUCGACGUUCCUAGCUUUCAUAUGAGGUUUUAGCUAAACGUUAGUCCGAUAGUAGUAGAGUUCUAAUUCGGACUUCUACAAAGAUUCUGACGAAAAUCUUGUGCCAUACCCGUAAUACUUAAAUGUCAGUACGGCAAACCCAACUGAUUACGGGCUCGUCGGAAAUACCUAAAUUACUUGGCACAGAAAUUUGGGAUAGACCUAUCCAAACACCGGCACAAGUAGUUACUAUAGAACUAUAUAAGAGCUUCACUGUUUCUCGUACUUCUGGUAAACUCUCACCACAAUGUUCAUGAAGCUCUCCUCUUUGAUAAACGUUUCAAUUUCUUUACGCUUAAAACCGAUGCUCUUCACCGUAAAGACCCAGUACACUAAAGUCUUUGACCCUAUCGUCACCUAGGAUUCUUCUAACUUCGCUAAUUUCUAACCGGAUCCGGCUGGUCACAGUGACUUUAAGCCUCAAAGGAACCAAACCGCCCUAUGAUGGCUUCUAUACAUCUUCCUAAACGCUUUUACAGAUGAGGAGAGUGAGCUGAAUGUGUAUUUCCUCGAUUUAAGGAUACCUUGCUUCGGACGCUUUCUUCGAAAGUUCUCGAUUUCCUUGCCAACUGAUGGCGGGGCUAAGACCGGAACGGACAAUGACCUCACCUAAUACACUAAAUGUCGCUACGUAGUGACUUACCUAAUCCCACACAAGAUUACGUCUUACCGUCUCAUUAACGAAUACGAAGAGCGGUUAAUUUCCUAAUACUUUUCUUGAUGGGAUGUGUACUAGAACUCAAUCGUCGACACCAUAAACGAAAUUUCGAAACCGCGGUGAUGGAGAUGCCGCUCGCAACGCUUCAAAUAUGUCUAGUAUUUUCAAAUUUCAUAGACAAAUGUGUCUUCCUUAAUUUAAACUCUGUUGCAUCUACCAACCUCAAUGAGUUCCUAAUACUAAACUGGUAGGAGAUAGUAGGACCUUUUCGAUUACAGCAUCGUCUACGAGAUUCAGCUUUUAGCUACCUUUUAAACCGCUACAGCUACUGUUACGUUGGUGACAACCAUUUCCUUUACCUCGUUAACUUAAACUUUCAACAUCGAGGACUAUGCGGAACCUCUGAAUACAGUAAUCACCACGUUGGAUGGGACUAGCUAGCUUAAUUCCUUUUCGUUCGAGUUCUACUGAAGGACGUCUUUUAAGCUCUAUUCUAGUAACCACUAGUACUAUCACUAAAAGCUCUUCUACUAGUCCCUAAUAACUUUACGCCACUAUCCGAGACACAUGGCCGUCUAAGACCAUAAUUUCUUCUCUAAGAUCGACUUCGUGUAGCCCGUGGCAUAUGACAUGUGGGCCCCUCAUGCUUUUACAUAUUCCUAAACUUCAAUUGAAUGACCACCGGACCUUACUUUUUCCUUCAACGUCUGAAACACCUUUGCACAGUCGUCCAAUUUCGACUUGUAGCUGAAGGACGUCCCUUUGAAGUCUCGAAUGGGUAUGGUCACACCUUCACCCUCUCCUAGUGAUACCUAAAGUAGCAACCUAAUGGAGCGAGUGUUCGGCCAGUGCUACGUUAAACCCAUUAACAACUAGCUAACUGAUUUAGACGGGUGAAAUAAGGUUAAGUAUGUUACACCUGCCCCCUUUCUGAGCGUGUUCACAUAGAACUACUUUAACACGCUAAUGUGCCUCAUGGACGAAGCUAACAAAGUCUAGCUCUGUGGGCUAAGCAAAGUGUAAAGACCUUCUCAAAUGUCCUCCGGUACCCAUGAGCUAACCUAAAAUCAUGACGAAAGGUGGGAGUCUCACUACCCGUCAGACUCGCAUGAUAGGUCUGGGAACUCCUAUACAACGCCCGGACACACUAACUGAUGGUCCCGUCAACCGGUGUCAAGAACGGAUACCGACUUAAACGAAUAUUGUUAUCAAUAGUUCGGUCAUAAGUCUACCGUGGCAAACUUCGGGAAAUACCAUCUUUCACAUCUAGUGGUGAAGUAACCUCACUUCACCCACUCUCUAACCAAAACCCAGGUCUGCAUAAUGAUCUCCGACUUCGAUUUUAAGCUGAACGCGCUCUUGCAGAUGACUGUCGGGUUUCAGCUGUUUUCUCAAUACGCCUGUUUGCAGCCGCUCUUAACCUUAAAAGUCAACUGCUAGUACAGAAAGACUUCCAAAGUGGCUGCUUUCCUCAAUUCUCUAAACCAUAAGCUCCUUUCAACUCAGGAGCUAAAUAACCUGGGAUGCUUCACAACCUUGCUUAUCCGGGGCAUCGAAUAGCCGAACGGAACGGCGGCUUGGAUAGCCCUCAGGUGCUACAUAAAGUACAUAGACGAGAUGCCUUUAUACAAAAACUAGGUUGAGUAUAUAACCUCUCAUGAGGUCACCUAAAUGUACUUCUAAACUCGAAACUCCUCGUAGGUUACUCCUAUGAUCGAGCUCUUCAUUUUGCUGAAGCUUUGGCACUCUAGGGGAUACAUUUCUAGGAAACCUCGUUAGUACUACUUGCCCUUCGAUGAACCCUUAACCUCUCACGUUACAAUCUCGUGAUGGGGAUGGAAAGAGCUAUCUUAGACCUCCAUUCACAAAUGUUCAAAACGCCUGCUUUGAAGAAAAAUCCUCCCCACUUACAUUAUGUGACCUGAAAACGUUUAACGCCUCAAGCUCACACACCUUACUUCACACUUUAAUAAGAUGUACAAGAUUAACUGAACCUGUUCAAAAACUUGUUCAAUCUCCUACUAACCUUACGAUUUUCACUCUUUCACGUAACUUGACCGCUUUUAGUCGGAAAAGACGAACGACAUGGCCAUGUCUGUAAUGGAACAUGGCCAUGUUCGACCGUCUAAGCACCGUCGUUCCAAUUAAAACAUUAAAGUGUAAACAAUGGAUAGAUAAACUAGGGUCGUGCUGAGACCCUGAAGUCACCUCACACGAUCUCACGUCUCUUCACAAGAAGGUAGAAAGAGUAAGAGAGAGAGAUCCCAAAAAGAGAGAGAUGCAGCUUAAGCGGCUAAAGCAAGCAAAAGCAGCGUUGCAACCAAGAAGCGACAAGCGUACACAACGUCCCGGAUGCACUCGCACGCUCCCUCAUAGAGCUUCUCGAAAAGCGUCGAGACUUGGUCAUUUCACGACCAACCUUCGAACUCUUCCAUUUGCUGCGCUACAAAAAGGCAAUAGCCGUAAGAUAAGCAGCUAAACUCAUAACUCAAACUCAAAAACGAAGAUUGGCUACAUUUGACUCUUAAUUCGAUAAUAAUUACUUAAUAAGUCGACACUUAAUUCGAGGAAUCUGAUCCCUACUCGAAGAAACUUCUAAUUAACUCUCUUAAUCGGUAAAUACUUCGAAUUAGCCUUGAUAUGCGCCAAAAAACUGCGUCAAAGCAUACUAAGGAAGCGUCGUCCAAAAGCUUGGUAGAUCUCGAUUAAACCACUGGAACCCCUAACUAAAUCUCCCACAAGAUUGGACUCCAUUCGUCCUUAAAGGUAAGAUUUUGAUUAAAGCGUUCUUAAGCCGAUUUAAGUGAUCAUAUGUUCGCGCAACUGCAGCAAAUUACUAACAAGCGUCGCGCUCACGAUAGCUGGAAACCCAGUGAAAGUCGACUAAUCACUCUCGAAGACCUCCGAAUUAAACUCCAUAAUUCGACCGGGUUGUGCCCCUUAAUGGAAUGAUGGAACAUGAUUCACGCUUAACACGGCUCAAGCCUGUAAGGCGAACAUCAUUACUACGGUGAAAGCACGAAACAAAAAGUCGUCUUAACUCUGGAACCCCUCGACUAAAACCCUGAAGGAAACUUGACUAACCUCAUAAGCAUGCUCCACCCAGCCUGGAUUGGUCUCGUUCACUUCGAGGGGAUACAAGAUAUACAUAAUAUCUGCACCAAAUUAAUAUACGGAUACACUAGCAAUUUCCCGAGCCUUAAGCAGUAGUACUGCAAAUAGUAUACACUUUACUCGCAAGUACGUAUUUUCAUGAGUACGUAAUUUCAUAAGAACAAAUCAAGUCAUCUUGUUGGUCCUCUAGUCAAAUAAUACAAAGAUACUAUAUCUCUUGUAUAUAUGUACUUUCAUAAAGAUAAGUAUAAGUUAUGUCAACUUACCGAAUACUUGUUCACAUCCUAUGUGAAAUUUCAUCUCUUGUUACUGUAAGAGAACUGAGAUUACAUCUCUUGAUACUGUACGAGUACCGAUACAACUAUCACGGUAGAUCACCUUUCUAAUAUUACGGUACACUAAAUCAAAAUGGGAAUGUACAAAUGUUAGAUCACCUAUGAUCGAGAACAAUGAUAAACACAUAACUGUAAGGCUAGUCUCCUAGCUCCCAUUCUUGAAAUGUUUACUUUUAUACUUUUAACCCUGUACACCUGUUACCUGAAACGAACGAACGGUAGCACGAGUAAGCGUGUGCGAACACUCCCAUCUAGGGAUGUUCGGCCGUGAGGCCUCAACCGGAUGCGCUGUCAACGAGCGGGCACGACCUAACUCACGGCUUCACCUAACGGCACCCCUCACAUAUGAUGGUGCUCCGGUAAUCNNNNNNNNNNNNNNNNNNNNNNNNNGGGUAUACUGCACUCAACAGUGCGGGGCUCGAGGCGGAUAAACCAGCCUAAGCCCGUGCGGCUGUCUGGCGGCUUGCCUGUCUCGGAGGGGACAUGCAAGAUCCGCAGUUGUUAGAUUUGUUACGUUAUGUUCUCCAAGGUACGUCCUUGAUAUCGUUCAUACAUCUAACGUAUUCAUAGUUUUUGUAUUUUACGAUUGAUACGAUAAUGUUCGUAAGUUGAGUGUCUAAGAAAUCUGUAAAUGUUAUCAAAUGUAAAUGUAUUGGUUUACACGGAAAUUCAAUAAUGUUUUGAAUAUGUUUAAUGUUGUUUAAACAAAGAAAGGUUAACCUUGAGACUCGACCUGGAGAAGUCCCAUGAAGAUAGUAACCAGAGCCACCAUCCCGCGAUAGAUGCCUCGAUGCGGGACAGGAGUGCGGCACCGCGGCGAGUGCACAUUGGACAUGGGGGUUUUGUUGUGCCCCCACUCUUGAUAUAUUUAUAUCAAGGGUCACCCAUGCCGGUGGGUUCCCUUCUCGAGCUGGGUGGUCCAGGUUUCCUCCGUUGUCAUCCAAUCAAGUUGUUUAUCUAUCUAUCUAUAAACUGAUUCGUUAUUUAUUUUGGUAUGGAAUGGAGCGACGAUACGUUAUACGUUAUGGACAGUUAGUACAUUCAUCUAAUGAACUAAGAUGAAAUAUAGAAAUUGGUAAGAAAUGAAUAUCGGCAAGAAAAUAAAGAAUCGAUAAGAGCAAGUAAUCGAUUAAAGUAAUAGCAAGUACAAAACGAGAAAUAAGAAACAUGAACAUGAACCACAAGAUGUGGAAUUUGAACCCGGGUGAUAUAAGUAACCGUUUAAGAAAGAAUUCCAACGAGAAUGGAAUUAGAGUGAUACGGUGGGCUGAGCCAGAACUCAGUUAGUUAGCGCCUAUCAGGCGCGUGACAGAUCGAGCUCCACUUCCUUGAGAGUGUACGUGGAGUCGACCGCUGUCGAGGGGCAUGAGGACAGGAUCGACAGACCGCCGCUUGCUCAGCGUGGAGUGGGUUGUUGUCGGAUCCAGUUACUGAAUCGGUGGGCCGCCGUUUUAGCAGCGUGUGCGGUGCUGUCACCAAGUUAGUUGUCCGCCAUCCUAGGUGUUCGACCGAAUUGGUAGAUCGCCGCUUUAGCAGCGUGUGCGGCUUGUUACCAAGUUCGGAGGCCCACCACCUGUGACGCGUGUGUGGGUUAGGACGGAACCAUAGUUAGAGCCGCCGCUUUAGCAGCGUGUGCGGGAUCGGAACUAUGGUUCCAAUAUUAUCUAGAACCCUAAGGCCUUAGGUAAAGGUGUUGAACUCCCAAAUGAGUGAAAUAGGAUACAACUGCUGGGAGGAUCCAGCUAUGGUUAGGAAAGGAUCACCAGUGAUAUGGUGAUUAUAAGUGUUGAAUCAAGUUUACAUGAUUCAGAAUGAUAUAUAGUAUUGGAUCCAAGUAAACGAUCCAAAAUAUAGUAAAAGUGGAUCUUGAGCUGAGAUCCAAAUUAAUGAACUGGAUACAGGUUACUGUGACCCAAUUACAGGCUGGAUACAAAGUUCUUGUGAUCCAAGUACGGUGAGCUAGAUAAUGUUCAACGUGUAAAAGUAAAUGAAACAAUGGCAGGUCUAAAGAUGAGUUAACCUCAACAGCUAAAUAUGGGUUAAGAAUCCCUAAAGUGUACUUCAAGUAUCAAAUGUAUGGUAUUUAAGUGUAAAGUGUAAGUUGAAUAAACGGGAACCGUAGAUACAUCCGAAAUCGUAUAUCGCUGUAAGUAUAUCAUACAUCCGAAAUCGUAUAUAAAAGUGUAAAAUAUAAGUUGAAUAAGCUAGUAUGCUUAACGUGUAGUGAUACGUAGUUUGAAAGUGCAAGUAUAUAGCUGUUCAUACACAUAAAUUGUGCUAAUAUACAUAACUGUUAAUAUACAGAAAUUGUGCUAGAAGUUAUAUAAGUGUACGGAGAUCAAACAAGUAAUGGACUAACCAUGUAGUCGAUCGUACCCUAAGUGUAAGUAUAUAUACUUAAGAAUACAAAGGUCGUCAGUGUUAAGUGCGUAAGUAUACGGAUGAGUAUUCGUAAAUCGUAAGUACAAGUCUCCAGCUGUUAGUAUAAGUAUAUAUACGCAGUUUACUUUGUUACUAAAUGAAAUCGUACCUUCACUGGAUUAGUGAAGCCAUUUCGUGUUGGGUGGAAAGAAACCGUGACCUUACUCUCUUUAGGUGAAGAGCGUGAAAAGGCUCUUGGCGCUGGGCGCGAGCGCUGAUAGCUACGGCUUUUAUAAGAAAACCGCUAUAGAAGCGCAUCCUCGCUGCCUAACGGCUUGGCUGAAGCGGUCGCGCAAAGAAAAUAGGGGUUAAUCCAAACAUGCGCCAGUUAAAGUACAGUCCCGAAGAUAGGACGUUUUCACGUAAUAACCCCAGUUAAAAGUUAUGUUUGGGUAAAGUUAGAUCCUCAUAUCAUAUUUAUAGGUUUAGAAGACUUCUAGAUAGACUAGGAUUUCAAAAACUCAAUUUUAAAAACUGACGACGGUCUCAGGGUCCGGUCCUCCCGAGGAGACCGGUCCUUGGGGGACCGGUCCUCUAAGGUGAAGACCGGUCCUUCGCUGCUUAGCUAAAACAAUAUGCGUACGGGGACUGGUCCUCAAUUUAGAGACCGGUCCCUCCCUGCGUAACAAAAAUAACCACCUACGGGAACCGGUCCUCAAGAUUAGAGACCGGUCUCCCAAAAACUUCUACGUAGAAAAGCUUGAUGGGUCCGGUCCCUCUGAUCAAGGACCGGUCCCUGAGCCUGGAGAUUUUUAGAAAACUUUAGUUUGAUCAACAAAAACAGAAUCUAAGUCUUUUAAACAUCUUUUAACAAUAAAAUCUCACCACAAACUAUUUAUAAUCAUACCUAAUAUCCCAAAAAUCUGGCAAAAAUCUUUGAUCUCCAAACUCCAAUUCUUUCUUCAAACUUCGUCUUCUAACUCUUCGCCUCCGUUUGGUUCGGGAUUAAGGAAAAAGUAGCUAUUCCAGGGAUAGAGUUAAGUUCAGGGUUAAAGUGGGGUUAAAGUUUUUUUGUGUUUGGUUGGGGGUUGGAGUUAGUAUAGAAUAAUGAAAAAUAGUGUUUGGUUGGGUAGGUGGGAUAAGAAGAUAAUGAUUGAUAAAGAAGGAUAAUGAUUGGUUGGAGUAGGUGUGAUAAGAAAGAUAGUGGGUUAUUAUGAAUAGAAAAUAGUAUUUGGUUGGAGUUUGGUGGGGUUAGGUGGGGUUAGCUAACCCGGGAUAAUUUAUUUGAGGUGGGGUUAGGUGGGGUUAGCUAACCCCACCUAUUUUUUGGGGUGUUUGGGGAUAAAAUGGGGGUUAAGGGGUUAUUCCACCCCUUAACCCCCAACCAAACAAGGGCUUCGAGACUCCGUCCAAACUUCACAAAAGUCGCAAACUUAGAAAAAAUCCUUAACAAAUUGUAGCACCUGCUUGAGCAAGUAGAGAGCCAAACGGCACUAGCAAAUGGCUAGUAAUGAUUCUUGGACGAGAAAUGAGACUCGGGGCGAACAUGAAAUGGUGAAGCGACUCUCAAGGCAUUGGUCAGAAGAUUGCGAGAGUUGCGCCAUGAUAUUGAGGAUACCCGAGUAGUUUGAGUAUUUCGGAUAUGGAUCCGGUAGAUCGAACAGUGAGAGUAGAAUCACUGUUGAGAGAGUAGCUGAUUAGUUGCCGAAUCCGGGCACGUUGGCCUAGUUGGAACGCUAUAGAGACGUGCGACGCACGAGUGUGGGUACUCGUAGAGUGCGGUUACGAUUCAACCGGGAGAGUGAGAUAGCAGUAGCACUGUAGCAUUGCUAAGUGUGAAGCAGGCUAUGGAUCACUCGUGGGGCUGGUGGCUCGCACUAGGUACUUAGGAGCCGAUAGUAGCAUAUGUAUGACUCGGUAGAGUAUGUCAUGUAGGGCGACGUUGGCGGGUUGUGCUUGGGGACGACCCGUGCCUGGACCAUUUCUGAACUGUGGAGUCUGGGCCCAUUGGGCAGGCGCAGUUAGCUGUGAGUGACAGCGGCCUUGUACCUAUGGGUAAGGCAGAGUUUUGGUCAGGACGGUAGUCCGAGCUUGGACCCGGGAGUAUGGAAUGCCACGUGUUGGAUCUCGAGAUCGAGGAUGCACUGAGAGUGCGGUUGUGACCCAACCCGAGGAUAUAAUGUGGUUUGGGGUCAUGGAUGCUCCUGGUUGGAGUGUGUGCGAAUUCCAAAGUGUGAAUUUUGCCUAGUGCAGAUUGGGCCUACGCCAGUGAGCGAGGGACGCUAUGCAUAGUUGUGAGAGGUUUAGGCGGUAGGCCUACGUAGUAUUGGUGACCGUUGGUCCACCUGUGAAAGCCGAUGUAAUCAGUUUAGCCGAUAACUCUAUUAGUGAGUUGGCUUGGAUUCGCGAACGGAGUGUUUGUGUGAGCUCGUUGCGACAACGAAGUCGAGUUGGCCGUGGCUCAUGAUGGCAAAGGAUGAAAUGCUCUUGUGAGAUAUUGAGCUAAUGGAAGCCACGUGAGAAUUGGAGCUUGAGGAUAAUGCUCAUUUGUGGAUUGAGAUUGGAGAUGUGCUAGAGUUUGCCAUCUCGUGAUAAAGCAAGGAUCCGGUUGGGAUUGGAGCACUCGCGAUUGGUCGAUCACCGACGAUAUUGCUUAUAGGCAAUGUCGGUGAUCGAAUCGGAAUGAAUUUUUCGAUUGGGUGUAUAAUGCAAAGAGUAGUUUCUUGCAUGAUGGUAAUACACUUUUGGAGCUAUACAUGGCAAAUGUGAGUGAAUUUGGUCUCACAUCCUCCGUAGUGAACCUUUGAAUGAUUCCAAUGAGUGAAAGGCCCCUCUAGAGUGCGAAAGUGCAUUGGAACCCUCGACUACUCAAUAAGCUGAGUUGAGGUGUGGAUUGGAUUAUAAGUGAGUUGAGUUUCGAGGACGAAACUCUUUUUAAGGAGGGGAGGAUGUAAGCUACCGGACUUCUAAAAUAAUGAAGUUACGGUUUAUAUUGGUUUGGAGAGCUAUUGGAAUGAUUCCGGUGAAGUUUGGAAGCAUCCGGGCGUUUUCAGAGCACGUAGGCGCGAAAACAGAACCCGAAAGGCUAUGUUGGGCCAUGGACUGAAUCCGGCAUUAGCGUGGAUGAAAAGAUGAUGAAAACAUGCUCGAAAACAUGUUUGGAGAGUCUCGGUUUGAUUUGAAAAGAAUCGGAAGCCAAACGAGCGAAAACGAGCGAAAACGGAGCGAAAACGAAAAAGGCUAAAAUUUGGCUAAGUCUGGAAAUUAUACCUACGGGGAUGGGUCCCUCGACCAGGGACAGGUCCCUCAGGGACCGGUUCCUCAUCCAAGGACCGGUCCCCGUAGCCCGAAAGUGCCCUGCGCGGGCUGUGCACUAAGUGCAUUGUUGAGGGGGGUUUUGGUUAUUUUGCCAUAAGUUGAGGGCAUAUGAGAGGGAGGAGCUUGUUCCCUCUCAUCUUUCUCAUUUCUAAACCCCAAACCCCUCUCUCUCUCUCUAGAAUAGCUCUCUCUCUCUCUCUCUUUUCCUCUUCAAGGAGGAAGACAAGCGGAGGGAUUGGAGGAGAAGGAAGCUUGGAGAAGAAGAAGCUUCACCUUCAUCUUCUUCUUCUCAAGUUUGGAGCAAGCUUUGGAGGUAAUCUUGAUGUCCAUUCAUGGUGGUUUCUUAGGGUUUGAUUUAUAUGCUCUAAGAAUGGUAUAGAUGGAAUUGUAGCAUGCUAAAUAGAUAGAAAAUACUUAAUUCAUGAAUCAAUUUGGAGUAUUUUGCUAUAAUUGCAUCUAGGCUCCAAUUUUGGGGUUUUUGGAAAUAUGAGGGUUUGAUCUAAAUUGACCCUUCUUUAAUCUAAUAGUUAGGUCCCCGAACACGUUCGUGCACUCAGUUUGAGCAUUCGUCGGGGCUACGAAGAGAUAUUGGCGAAAAACCCAUUUUUAGCUUCGUUUCCGCCUGGAGGGCCGAGGCGAUGACUAAAAAUCAUGGAAACGGAUUUGGAGCACCGUGGCGGCAAAUCGUAGACCUAUAAUUUUCGGGGCUGUGAAGCGGCACACGGUUGGUGCGCAAUUGCGAGUUCGGGCCGAGCAGGAUACGGGUGCCGCAGGAGGCCGAUUGCAAGUGACUACAAGCAAUCGGAGAGCGAAUCGAGGUGAGUUGUGCACGCCGAAGCGACUAUGUCACGCCCCGGGACCGGCGGAGGCCCUCCCGGUAGCGUGCCCAUACCCGCCAUAUGUCUACACAUAUAAGGCGUCUACAAGAAAAGCGAAAGUAAAAGCAAGAGAUGGAACAAAUAAAGAAGUGAAAUAACUAGCAACUAAUGAUAUCAGAGCGAGUAAAGUUCUAACAUCUACACCAAUAGUAAUAGAACGUAACUAAUACAUAAAAGUAAACAUAAGUUAUACAGAAUCAGCCUCUAAUACAAAAAUGGUGGUCACUAGUACACUGGUAAAACUCUCAACCUCUACAAAAUAAAACACAACGAGAGGUAGACCACCUAGUGAAUCGUCCUCAAGGGAAGCUAGCCCGAAGUAACUCCCUUCCCGCGGUCCCUGGCCUCACCCUGACACCACGUAACUCGACUCCAGUCAUUAACGGGUGACCCUUGAUAUUUAAUAUCAAGAGUGCGGGAGAAAAAGAGCUACAAAAAGUCUCGGAAGGUANNNNNNNNNNNNNNNNNNNNNNNNNNNNNNNNNNNNNNNNNNNNNNNNNNNNNNNNNNNNNNNNNNNNNNNNNNNNNNNNNNNNNNNNNNNNNNNNNNNNNNNNNNNNNNNNNNNNNNNNNNNNNNNNNNNNNNNNNNNNNNNNNNNNNNNNNNNNNNNNNNNNNNNNNNNNNNNNNNNNNNNNNNNNNNNNNNNNNNNNNNNNNNNNNNNNNNNNNNNNNNNNNNNNNNNNNNNNNNNNNNNNNNNNNNNNNNNNNNNNNNNNNNNNNNNNNNNNNNNNNNNNNNNNNNNNNNNNNNNNNNNNNNNNNNNNNNNNNNNNNNNNNNNNNNNNNNNNNNNNNNNNNNNNNNNNNNNNNNNNNNNNNNNNNNNNNNNNNNNNNNNNNNNNNNNNNNNNNNNNNNNNNNNNNNNNNNNNNNNNNNNNNNNNNNNNNNNNNNNNNNNNNNNNNNNNNNNNNNNNNNNNNNNNNNNNNNNNNNNNNNNNNNNNNNNNNNNNNNNNNNNNNNNNNNNNNNNNNNNNNNNNNNNNNNNNNNNNNNNNNNNNNNNNNNNNNNNNNNNNNNNNNNNNNNNNNNNNNNNNNNNNNNNNNNNNNNNNNNNNNNNNNNNNNNNNNNNNNNNNNNNNNNNNNNNNNNNNNNNNNNNNNNNNNNNNNNNNNNNNNNNNNNNNNNNNNNNNNNNNNNNNNNNNNNNNNNNNNNNNNNNNNNNNNNNNNNNNNNNNNNNNNNNNNNNNNNNNNNNNNNNNNNNNNNNNNNNNNNNNNNNNNNNNNNNNNNNNNNNAAAUAGUUCCCAGUGGGUAAUUACUGACUUCAGUGAAUGCACCACAAGGCCCAAAGCUACAAAAGAUGUCAGUGACUAUACAUGUAGGAAAGCGAAAAGCAAGUAAAAAGGUAACUUACUACAACAUGAUAUCUCUACUUCAUAUAAAUAGCAUAAGUACGAAAACAACUAUGCAUGAAGUAAAAGUCUCCAACUAUCAUAAUGUUCACAAUGCGAAAUAGUAAAGUUCCGUGGUUUACUAUUCUAGUCAAUGUCCAAGUAAUACUCUAAGUCAUCAUCUGUCCACCUGUCAUGAUGAAUACUCAAGUCAAAUCUGAAGAGACCCACCCGAAGGCUGUCUAUGGCCCUGAGACCCACCCGUAGGCUGUCUGGCCGGUGCCGAGCCUAAUGGCCCCGUGGUAGUCAUCAUCUCCACCCUAGGAAUGAGCCUGUCCCACGGCAAUCCACUUCGGCGCCCAAUCCCGCACGGCGAAUAUGAAUCGCGAUGGCUAUCUCCGGAGUGCCGGCUUGUAGGGAGCGACCCUCACAAGCAUGUGCGAAUGAGCACAAUGGCAAGUAGUCAAACGAUCUGCCGCAAGUACCAAGUCCUCAUGUCUAAUAACAUGGAAUGUAUCGAAUGUCCCAAAGGCCUGUCCCUAUGUCAUCAUGUCUCUAACAUGGAAUAUAGCAGAUGUACAAUGGCCUAUCAUCAUGUCCCUAAAUGCAGUUUCAUAGUUUACUAAUUUCAGGUGCCCCUUUAUGACACUUUUGUUCAGCAAGUUCCAAGCAUGGCAACUAUGUUCCAAAGUACAUAUUCCAAGUCAUAAUCCUCAUAAGAGGUGUAUUUCCCUCUUGCAAAAAUAAAUACUUUUCCCGUAUGCAUGCAUUCUACUCAUAUAGCUCUACUAUAUAGUGAAAUUUUCAUGAUACCCAAGGCAUGCGUUUUAAGUGUUCUAAAAUUCAUAUAAAUUUCAUUUAACAUAGAAAUGAACUUAAAAAAUAUUUUACGACGAGUGCAAAGAGCAUAGGGGCCAUUUCGCCCCAUUUCCACGAAGCCAAACCCACCGAAAGAAUCGACUUCUUCGUUUCGCCGAACGAAGAUAUCCACAAGUUCCCUAGUACCCUAGAAACAUCAAAAAUGGGGUCACCCAAACGAAACGAAGAGCAAAUAGCUCAAUCAUUAACCAACUCAAGCUAGAGUUGGGAAAAAAACUCACCUCAAGUGGAAAACCCUCUCUAAAUCCUCAAAUGGAAGGUAGAGGUCUUCCAAUCUAACCUAUAUAAAGGUUCCAAACCCAUCAAUUAGGUCUCAUAACCCUCAAAUCCAAAAACCCCCAAAAUAAACCCUAAAUCCCAAAAUCUAGGGUUUCAUCUAGAAAAACCUAGGAAAACAAGUAUUAAAUGGGGAUUAUAAGCUACCAACCUCAAGAGAAGCUCCAAUCCGAGCUCAAAACCAAGUAGGGUUGAGGUUUGAUCCUCCCCCAAGCUCCAACCGCAAGUUCAAAGCCACCAAAGAUGAGAAAUGAGGAAGAAGAUGAUGCUCCAAGGCCUCUAUUGUCACGCCCCGGGACCGAUGCCAAUUUGGCCCGACCCGAGCACGUCAAACAGACGCCGAACGGACAGAGUUUCCCCUAUCCGCCCAAGGCUCAUCACACGUACCUUUUCAUCAAUAGAGAAAAGCACUAGCGGAAACAUACACAAACGGCUUACACGAGGGUAAGCAAUAGCCAUAAGUGAAAGAAAAAGGAAACUAAACAUUCACAAGUAAUAUGAUUCAUUUUAGAUCAUAUACAUUGCGUCCAUUUCUUACAUUUAAGACUCUUUACAUUUCAUUACAUAAUUUCAUCAUUUCUUUCUUACAUCACAUUUACCUCAAAAUAAGCUUACAUUCUUUUCUUGCUUUGCUAAAUCAUCAAAUACAAAAGAUGAUCAUAAGGUACUUUACUACAAAAUGAAACCCAACAUCGGUGGCCUCUGUCUAAGGCGCGAUACCUUUACCUCGGUCGCUCGCCGGCUCGCUCGGUCCCGGCUCUGUGGAAAUAGUGGGGUGAGAACUACAACAAAGUUCCCAGUGGGUUCGGCCUCAACAUCACCGACUUUCC